rnacentral:lncRNA from 1 species
AUGAAGGCUAUGUUUUGGUUUCUGCAUUUUUGUUUGCAAAGCUCGUGGAGUGCCUCACUCAAAGGCACUGGUUUUUUAAGACGCAACAGGCAGGAGUAAGAAUCCGAGCAGUACUUGUUACAGCCAUCUACAACAAGGGUUUGACCUUGUCAUGCCAGUCCAAGCAGGGCCACACAAGCGGUGAGAUUAUCAAUUUUAUGACUGUCGAUGCUGAGAGGAUCGGUGACUUCAUUUGGUACAUACACUAUCCAUGGAUCAUCCUUGUACAAGUUGGCUUCGCCCUAGUGAUUUUGUACAUAAAUCUUGGUCUUGCAGCUAUCGCAACAUUGAUUGCAACGAUAAUUGUUAUGUUGGCAAAUGUUCCCCUAGGGUCCUUGCAGAAGAAGUUUCAGGACAAGUUAAUGAAGUCAAAAGAUAAAAGGAUGAAGGCAACAUCUGAGAUCUUGAGGAACAUGAGAAUUCUCAAGCUUCAAGCAUGGGAGAUGAAGUUUCUCUCUAAAAUUAAUGAGCUCCGGAAGUCAGAGGCAGGAUGGUUACGAAAGUUUGUUUACACUUGGGCCAUGACCUCAUUUGUCUUCUGGGGUGCCCCAACAUUUGUGUCUGUGGUCACUUUUGUUUCUUGCACGCUUUUGGGAAUCCCACUCGAAUCCGGGAAGAUCUUAUCUGCACUUGCAACGUUCAGGAUUCUUCAAGAGCCUAUUUACUGUCUUCCAGAUACAAUUUCAAUGAUAGCACAAACUAAGGUAUCUCUUGAUAGAAUUGCAUCAUUCCUUUGUCUUGAUGACUUGCAGCCGGAUGUUAUAGAGAACAUCCCAAGAGGUAGUUCUGAUACAGCAGUUGAGAUAGUCGAUGGGAAUUUCUCUUGGGAUUUAUCUUCCCCUAAUCCAACAUUGAAGGAUAUAAAUUUCAAAGUGAGCCGUGGUAUGAGAGUUGCUGUUUGUGGUACUGUUGGCUCGGGCAAGUCGAGCUUACUUUCUUGCAUUCUGGGAGAAGUUCCGAAGAUAUCUGGGACUCUAAAGUUGUGUGGGACCAAGGCCUAUGUUUCUCAGUCACCAUGGAUACAGAGUGGAAAAAUAGAAGAAAACAUAUUGUUUGGUAAACAGAUGGACAGAGAAAGUUAUGAGAGGGUUCUAGAAGCGUGUUCGUUAAAGAAGGACCUGGAAGUUCUAUCGUUUGGUGAUCAGACGGUUAUAGGGGAGAGAGGAAUCAAUUUAAGUGGCGGGCAGAAGCAAAGAAUACAAAUUGCACGUGCCAUGUACCAAGAUGCUGAUAUUUAUCUAUUUGAUGAUCCUUUUAGUGCCGUUGAUGCUCAUACAGGAUCCCACCUUUUUAAGGUAUUUCAUUUCUCUAUUCUAGUAUGAUGCCAUAUGUAAUAAACUGAAUCUUCAAAGUUAUUUGCAUCAUUGAACUAUUGACAUAUGCAUCGAUAUUAUUCUUUUGUUUGACACUUCACGACUGAUUUAUUUACUUGACAAUUCCACAACAGGAAUGCUUGCUAGGCCUGUUGAGUUCGAAAACAGUAAUUUAUGUCACUCAUCAAGUGGAGUUCUUGCCGGCUGCUGAUCUUAUAUUGGUAAACUAUCCACAGAGCUUUUUUUUCUUUUUUGAAAUUCCAAUUCAUAAUACGUGAUACUAUCUACUUGGUAUAUGUCCACUCAAAGUUACUCCUUGUCAUCAGGUCAUGAAGGAUGGAAGGAUUAGUCAAGCUGGAAAGUUCAAUGAUAUUCUUAAUUCCGGAACUGAUUUUGAGGAACUUGUGGGAGCGCAUGAGGAAGCUUUGUCCGCACUUAAUUCUGUAGAAGAGGGGCCUGCUGAACAAAUAAAUGUUAGCAAAGAAGAAGGAAAUUCGGCUAGUACUGAUGGGGUUGUCCAAAAAAAAGAAAGCAGUGAUGUUCAAAAUAGUAAAACAGAUGAUGUAGGUGAGCUAAAGGGGCAGAUUGUUCAAGAAGAAGAGAGAGAGAAAGGUAGAGUUGGGUUUUCAGUGUACUGGAAGUAUCUCACCACAGCUUACGGAGGAGCUCUUGUGCCUUUUAUAUUGCUUGGACAAAUUCUGUUUCAGAUCCUUCAAAUUGGAAGCAAUUACUGGAUGGCUUGGGCAACUCCCGUGUCUGAGGAUGCGAAACCUGCGGUUACAAGCUCUACAAUGAUAAUUGUGUACGUUGCUUUGGCUAUUGGAAGUUCUUUUUGUGUUCUCUUCAGAUCCAUGUUUCUUGCAACAGCUGGGUACAAGACAGCAACUAUACUCUUUAGUAAAAUGCACCAUUGCAUUUUCCGUGCUCCAAUGUCUUUCUUUGAUUCGACUCCAAGUGGACGAAUCCUUAACAGAGUAAGCGAAAUAUAUUUUUAAUAUCAUGCCUGAUUGGUGGUUCAAAGCAAAAUAUAUUUCUAAAAUCAGUAUUCGAAUCAAUGUUGCUAAAUAAUUUCUUGCAGGCUUCUACUGACCAAAAUGUUGUGGACAUGAACAUGUCGAUUCAACUUGGGGCCCUUGCUAACUCAACAAUCCAGCUUGUAGGAAUUAUUGCAGUGAUGUCACAGGUUGCAUGGCAGGUUUUCAUCAUUUUUAUCCCCGUGGUUGCAAUCUGUAUCUGGUAUCAGGUAAUUCUUCUCACUUUGUCCGAAUGCUCCUAUCUUAUAGGUAGGUCAACUUAUCACAUGAAUUCAACUGGAAAAUACUUCAGUUUUAAUUCUUAUGUUGUUCAUGCUCUGUUGAUGCUCUUUAUUCAUACCUAUACAUGCUUGAACUUGGCUUCCUUAGUGACGCAAAAGUUUACUCCUGUUACAGCCCGGAAUAUAUAAGAAUCAUGUUAAAUAAAAUGCUCACGAAUUUAUAUUGAUGCAGCAAUACUACAUUCCUUCAGCAAGAGAACUAGCACGGUUGGUUGGAGUAUGCAAAUCUCCAGUGAUACAACAUUUUGCCGAAACAAUUUCCGGGUCAACAACUAUUAGAAGCUUCGAUCAAGAAUCAAGAUUCAGGGAUACAAAUAUGAAAUUGACGAUAGUUUUGGUCGGCCUAAGUUCCAUACUGCAGCUGCAAUGGAAUGGCUAUGUUUUCGCUUGGAUAUGUUGUCAUCUAUCACAUUUGGAUUUUCUUUGAUUUUCUUGAUCUCUAUUCCAGCGGGGGUAAUUGAUCCAGGCAAGUGAUAUUCAUCUUUUGUUUUACUGAUUAUUCUUGAAAUAAUUGUUUGCAAAUCUAGAAAUUCUCUUUUUCUUAUUUGGUUUGCAUUUUUUACCCAAAAGGCAUUGCGGGAUUGGCUGUCACAUAUGGACUAAAUCUAAACAUGUUGCAAGCUCGGUGUAUAUGGAAUCUUUGCAAUGUAGAGAACAGAAUAAUAUCAGUGGAGAGAUUACUACAGUACACUAAUAUUCCCAGUGAACCUCCUCUUGUAAUAGAAUCCAAUCAGCCGGAUCGUUCUUGGCCAUUACAUGGAGAAGUUGAUAUCCGUGAUCUUCAGGUACCUUCUGUUCUGGUUUAUUUCUUCAUACGAUAUAGGAUCAGUCAUGUUUAUGACUGUUAUUUCAUGUUUAUGUAGGUUCGCUAUGCUCCACACAUGCCACUUGUGUUGCGGGGUCUCACAUGUACCUUUCCUGGGGGAAUGAAAACUGGGAUUGUGGGGAGAACUGGCAGUGGCAAAUCAACUCUCAUACAGACCCUUUUCCGGAUUGUGAAUCCUUCUGCCGGCCAGAUUUUGAUAGAUGGUAUUGAUAUCUGUUCAAUUGGACUGCAUGACUUGAGGUCUAGGCUGAGCAUUAUCCCUCAGGACCCAACCAUGUUUGAAGGGACUGUAAGAAGCAAUCUGGACCCGCUUGAAGAGUACACGGACAAACAAAUUUGGGAGGUUGGUUGGUUACAUUGAUGAUAGGAAUUUUGUUCCCACUAAAUGUUCUUCUGUAUCUGACUUUUUAGUUCCAAAUUGGAGUCACUCGUUAACAUGUCUUUUAUUUGUUUUAGGCCCUCGAAAAGUGCCAACUUGGAGAUGAAGUUAGGAAAAAGGAAGGAAAGCUGGAUUCCACAGGUUUUUUCUUAAUUUAGAGGCUAUAUAGAUGCUCUCAAUUUCAUGCUAUGUCAUGGAAAUUAUUCGUGCUUAUGUUUCGAGAAUUGCUGCAGUUAGCGAGAACGGAGAGAACUGGAGUAUGGGUCAGAGACAGCUGGUCUGCCUUGGCCGUGUGCUCCUGAAGAAAAGUAAGGUUUUGGUGCUUGAUGAAGCUACUGCAUCGGUUGAUACGGCUACAGAUAAUCUGAUCCAGCAGACCCUUCGACAACACUUUACUGACUGCACAGUCAUUACUAUUGCGCAUCGUAUAACUUCUGUUCUUGACAGUGACAUGGUUCUGCUUCUAAGUCACGGUUAGUAUUGCCAUAUGAAUCCAUCCAACAUUCCUAAUGAUCCCCUUUGUUUUUACUUUAACAUAUUUUUGAUCGUGUUGCAGGGCUUAUUGAGGAAUAUAAUUCUCCAGCAAGAUUGCUGGAAAACAAAUCAUCGUCAUUCGCUCAGCUCGUGGCAGAGUACACAACGAGAUCGAAUUCUAGUUACGAGUAGUUUGAAUGACAAUUAACAGUCCAAAUCUUCACUGUGCACUAGUCAACUUGGUAACUGUUUUGAUAAUGUCGAAAAUAAUUGGUGAGUAUGGGAUUACUCAACCAUCAGAAUCGGAUGAUCAAGCUGCAGCUUGCAAGUGUAUUUUUAUAUGCUAUAUUUUUUGUUACAAAUGUGUUAUGAUUAAGUACAUUAUUCAAGUAAUGGUAAUCUCAGAGUUAAUGUAGUUGUCAAACUUUGUGCUUCCAAUGAAAUCUAGAAUGUCUGGUUUUAAUUUACCAGCAUUCAGUUGUGGACGUGCUGUUUCAAUCAGGAUUGUGGAUUAAAUUUAUAUUAAAUGCCAAGCUGCGCAUAGGUUUUAAGAAAAAAAUUACAAAGUUCUGUUAAAUACUAGCAAGAUUGCCCGCGCGAUGCUGCGGUGCUACGUCUUGCUCCUGUACAACCUUAUCUAAAAAGGAACAAUGAGCAGCGUUGAAUUUAAUUCCAUCAUCAAUUUGUAGGAUCUAAAUUAAUAUAUAUAUAUAUAUAUAUAAACAUAGACCCCAAAAUUUCUAUCAUGGAGAAAAAUAUUAACAUUGGGAAAAGGCAAAGAGAGGAAUUCUGAAAAGAAAACUGAGAGUAUGGAUCAUAUUGAAUGGAAAUCACAAACAGCAACCACAUCAAAAAUGAAGAAUAACAAUUGAAAAGCAAAAUAAUAAUCGAACCAUAACUAAAAAAGCCAUCUGAUUUUGAAUAUUACAAUUAUGAAGCAACUCUUAUAGGAUGAGUGAGUAGAACUUACAACGUAUUUAGGAGUUACAAAGCAGUUAGGAGUGUUCCAUCUCGCUAUCAAUUUGCUAAACCAAGAUCAUCUGUACCAAAUGACAACAUUUUAAUCCUUCAAACUGCUCCUGGAAAGUAAAUUAAAUGUGGGGAUCUAUACCUUAAGACAACGGAAAAAGUAGAUUAAAGUUGGAAAGUAUCAAACUUUACAACUUUCUCCAAAAGCAUAUAUCACCACAAAAGUACCAAUUUUUCGCAUUAAUCAGAAACUAUGCAAUAUUAUUUUAUAUUUUCCAAUGAAUUUGAAACCCUGAAAUUGUCAUAUUUGGACAUUCUUUACUCGAAAUUUAUUCAAGAAGCACUUGUCAAAUGUUCGACAAAAUUUAGGAAUUGAAACAAAAUCCACAGUGCAGUGAUCACAAUCGUCGAGACCAACAUUUGAAAAAUGUAGAUAAAUUCACUGAUAAGGCGUAUCAUAAAAUACCCAUUGAGAUUGAGAUUGCAGCAAAUUGAAAACAUUCUUAUUAAAAUAGCGUAAGUCACAAAACGCACAAUCAAAACAACAACAACAUAUUACUUUAAACUUGCAGAGACUCCAAAGGAAUACCGAACUCAGGUACAUAAUUAAAAAAAAUGAAUAAUGGUAAAAAAAAAGAUCCAUCAGGACAAAAAAUUCUCACAUGAAAUUUAAUCAACAGAUGAAAUUCUUAAGUUACCCAAUUAGACAAAGCAAGAAGAAACAGUCGUUAAUCAAGAAUUCACCAAAUAAAACAAUGCAAGAAUUGACCAAAUAAACGAUGAAAAAUUGAUUGCAACAAUUGGAACAAAGUAACAAACAGGGGGUAGGAUUUGCGGCCCCCACUGCAACAAAUCUAGCAUUUAUGCAAAGGAAAUUCGAUUACAACAACAAAGCCUUUUCCCACUAAGUGGGGUCGGUUAUGUGAAUCCUAGAACGCCAUUGCGCUCGGUUUUGUGUCAUGUCCUCCGUUAGAUCCAAGUACUCUAAGUCUUUUCUUAGGGUCUUCCAAAGUUUUCCUAGGUCUUCCUCUACCCCUUUGGCCUUGAACCUCUGUCCCGUAGUCACAUCUUCGAACUGGAGCGUCAGUAGGCUUUCUUUGCACAUGUCCAACCCACUCAUUCCUAAUCUUAUCCUUUCUCGUGAGCCCACACCUCUAACGAAGCAUCCUCAUCUCUGCUACACCCAUUUUGUGUACGUAUUGAUGCUUCACCGCCCAACAUUUUGUGCCAUACAGCAUCGCCGACCUUAUUGCCGUCCGAUAAAAUUUUCCCUUGAGCUUCAGUGGCAUACGACGGUCACAUAACACGCCGGAUGCACUCUUCCACUUCAUCCAUCCCGCUUGUAUUCCAUAUAUUAUGUCUUUGAUCGGCUUAGGCGAAGACCUUUAGAUUCCAACACUUCUCUCCAAAGGUUAAGCUUUGCAUUUACCCAUUCCUAAGUUUCAUCUAUCAACCCUAUAUCGUCUGUGUAAAGCAUACACCAAGGAAUAAUAUCUUGAAUAUUUCCUGUUAACUCAUCCAUUACCAAUGCAAAAAGGUAAGGACUUAAGAAUUGUUGAUGCACAAACUCAGUGAGGACUUUGGUACAACAGAAAGUAUUAAGUUUGUGACCUUCACUAGAUUACUCCGGUCAUUAGUGUGGAUAAGUAUGUAAAAUGAUAGAGACAGGAGAGCAAACACAAGAUGUAUGUGGUUCACCUAGAUUGGCUACGUCCACGGAGUAGAAGAGUUCUCAUUAAUUGUGAAGGGUUUACACAAGUACAUAGGUUCAAGCUCUCUUUUAGUGGGUACAAGUGAAUGAUUUAGUACAAAUGGCAUUAGGAAAUAUUUUGGGAGAAUGAUCUCCUUUUAUAAAGAGAGUUUCUAGCCUUGUUCUGACAUUGACACGUGUCGUGUUGUGAUUGGCUUCUGAUGUCGACACGUGUCGCUCUGUGAUUGGCCUCCUGGUUGGAAGGGAAACUCCUCGGUUGGGGACUUGCAAGAUCCAAGCUGUUGAGUAAUCACGAAACUUCUAAGUACCGAAGUGUGGUAUCGUCUUCACUUGCCUUAUCUGUCUCAUAGGUAGAUGCAGCAUCUUAUAUGGAAGUACUCUUCCUCCGUCCAGGGGUGGUAUCUUUAACUGGUGGAGAUGCACAAGAUAAUGUAUCAAUUUCACUUGAAGCUUACUUGUAGUUUCAGGCUUGGUCAAGCGCGAUACAAACCAUGUAGUAGGAGUCCCCCAAGUCGCCAAGCUAGGGGAUCUGCUGAAAGAGGUGACAGACAAGGUAAGCAAUCAGAACUCCAAGCAAUCAGUCCCAGAUCAGAAGUUUGAUUUCGAGUUCUGGCUGAUUAUUCUCAUUCUCCUUAUCUUGCAGGCAGCAUGAAGGAUAAAGAGAAGAAAAUGAGAUGAGAUGAUAUGAGAUACUUUUGCUUUUGAAGAAGUAACUUUCCACAUGCUUAUUCUUGAACUGGGCUGGAGGGUUUUCUGGUUACCUCCAGAGUAUAAGGCCGACUGAAGAAUUUGAGGGUCAAAACAAGUCCAUCAAAUCUAGAGUACGUUCGACCCUGCUGAUAUGGGAUACUUUUUCUGUUGACAAAGUAGUGGAAGUAUCGGCAUGUGUUAUGUUACACUUGUCUCCACAUGCUUCCUUGUAUCCUUCUCACUUGCCCUAUCUGUUCUUCAGGCAGAUGUGGUAUCUUCUUUGGAAGCAUAAGAUGUUGAAGAUGAGUACUCGAGAGCAAUGCUAGGUAAGUAAUCAGGUAAGGGGUUCCAGGUAGUCAGUUCCUGACUGGAAGCUUGAUUCUAAGUGCUGACUGAUUGCUCUCUUUCUCCUUGUCUUGCAAGUAAGAACAAGGCUAAAGGAAAAGACAGGGAAAAAGCAUGAUAUGGGAUACUCUUGCUUUUUACCCUAAUGAUAUGAGAUAUUCUUGCUUUGGUGUAGCUUGUUUGCAGAGGUAUUAUCGGGGGGAAAGAAAGCUGAGUAUUUCGAGAGGCUUCGUUGGGAGUGCCCUCUCAGAUAUAAGGAAGGGUUAAGCAUUUUUGCAGGUAUGCCUGUCCGUUAAGGAUGGAAGUCAACAUAUAUAGGAGUCUUCCUAACAACAAGUAGUAAUGCUAUUCCUUUACCCUUCUUGGUCAUAGCACUGUAGUGGGAGUUGCCAGCUUCACGUGUUUUAACUCUGUCAGAGCACUUUGAAAAAGUGGUCUGUGGUAUCUGGAAAGCUGAUGUUCAGUGUAAAGAUUACAGACAAGCUUUAUCCAAGGAGAUCUGGAUCUCGAAGUUGAGAAAGCGAUGCCUCUUUGGUUUUCGAACAAUCGAUCCUGUAAGGGAUCUGGCUCUCGAGAUUCGAAGAACAGUGCCUCUUCGAUCUUUGAGAAAGCAAUCCUGCUGGGAGUCUGGCUCUUGAAAUUCGAAGAGCGGUGUCUCUUCGAUUUUUUAGAAAGUAAUCCUGUUGGGAAUCUGGCUCUCGAGAUUCAGAGGGCGGUGCCUCUUCGAUUUUGGAGCAAGCAAUCUUGUUGGGAGUGUUUUCUCGAAUGUGAGUAAAGGUUGGGCAUUUUUGCUAGUCUACCUUGCCACGGAGCAUAGAGGUUGACACACAAGGACUUUCCACUUAUCCAGCAGUGGUGUUGUUCCUUUACCCUUGUGGAUAAUAAUAUGGUAUCUUAACCUUCAAAAUUUAUAUGUCUAAACUUUGUUAGUGCUGUUUCUUUGCUAUUCUUUUACCCUUCUUGGUUAUAGCGAUGUAGUGGGAGCUGCAAGCUUCACGUGUCUAAACUUUGUCAGAUAUCUUUGGCAAAGUUAUAUGUGGUACCCAUGAGCUGAUGUUGCGUGUGGAAAGUGGAUGAUUGAACAAUAAGAUUCACGUGCUUUCUACUUCACCAGAAAUCUUCGACAGAUUGCCCGUAAUUUCCGCAAAGCUGAGUGUGCAUGUGACAGGUGCUGACAAGGCUGAGAAAGCAGGUGCCUCUUCGAUUUCUGAGAUCGGCCCUCGUAGUCUUUAAGCAGCCCAGCUUUUGAGAAAGCAAACGCCUCUUCGAUAUCUGAGAUCGACCCUCGUGGUCUCUGAGGAGCCCAGCUUUUGAGAAAGCAAACGCCUCUUUGAUUUCUGAGUAGGCGCCUCUUCGAAUUCUGAAGCUCCGUCGAGUGCAGAUUUUUAUAGAGGUUGACAUUAAGUUCCAAACACACUUGAAUCUCCACCAAUAGAAGCUCCCUUCUUGCACUUCUAAGAUCUUGAUUUGUCCGACCUCUUCUCUCUUCAACACCUUUGAAAAUGUCUGGCCCUUCCGACCGUCGUUUUGACUUGAACCUUGGUGAAGAGGCAGCCGCGCCUUUUCCAGACAACAUAUGGCACCCAUCCUUCUUAUCCCCUACUGGUCAUCUUACCGUUGGGGAUUCCGUGAUAAAGAAUGAUAUGACCGCUGCGGUGGUGGCCAGGAACAUUCUCACUCCCAAAGAUAACAAACUUCUUUCCAAACGGUCUGAUAAGUUGGCUAUUAAGGAUUUUCUGGCUCUUAGUGUUCAGUGUGCAGGUUCUGUGUCGAAUAUGGCCCAACGCCUAUUUGCUCGAAUCCGCCAAGUUGAAUCAUUGGCGGCUGAAGUGAUAAGUCUCAAGCAGGAGAUUAGAUGGCUCAAGCAUGAGAAUAAACAGUUGCACAGGCUCGUACAUGACUAUGCUACAAACAUGAAGAGGAAGCUUGACCAGGUGAAGGAAUCUGAUGGUCAGAUUUUAUUUGAUCACCAGAGGUUUGUAGGUUUGUUCCAAAGGUAUUUAUUGCCUUCGUCUUCUGGGGCUGUACCGCGUAAUGAAGCUCCAAAUGAUCAGCCUCUGAUGCCUCUUCCUUCUAGGGUUCUGUCCAGUACUGAGGCUCCGAGUGAUCACCCUCCGGUGCCUUCUCUUUCUGGGGCUCUACCGACUGCUGAGACUUCUCCUAAGCAACCUUUAUGAAUGCCCCCUCUUGUUUGUUUAUUUUGACUCAUGUAUAUGUACAUAUUUGUAACUUAUCGGAGAUAUCAAUAAAUAAAUUUUGUUUCAUUUUAACGUAUUGUGUUAAAUACACCAAAGCCUUCUUCACUAACUUCUUUGAAUUUUUCUUUUGUUGAAGCUUGUAUGUUGAAGCUUUGUGAGUGAAGCAUGUAGGUUGAGGUAGUGUUCCCUUAAUUUCUUGAGUGAGGAAAACUUCUCGGUUGAAGACUUGAAAAAUCCAAGUCACUGAGUGGGGUCGGCUAUAUGAAUCUUAGAACGCCAUUGUGCUCGAUCUUGUGUCAUGUCCUCCGUUAGAUCCAAGUACUCUAAGUCUUUUCUUAGAGUCUCUUCCAAAGUUUUUCUAGGUCUUCCUCUACCCCUUCGGCCCUGAACCUCUAUCUCGUAGUCGCAUCUUCUAACCGGAGCGUCAGUAGGUCUUUUUUGCACAUGUCCAAACCACCAUAACCGAUAGCUUUCCUACAAUUUCGGCUACUCCUACUUUACCUCGGAUAUCCUCAUUCCUAAUCUUAUCCUUUCUCGUGUGCCCACACAUCCAACGAAGCAUCCUCAUCUCCCCUACACCCAGUUUGUGUAUGUGUUGAUGCUUCACCGCCCAACAUUAUGUGUCAUACAGCAUCGUCGUCCUUAUUGCCGUCUUAUAAAAUUUUCCCUUGAGCUUCAAUGGCAUACAGCGGUCACACAACACGCCGGAUGCACUCUUCCACUUCAUCCAUCCAGCUUGUAUUCUAUGGUUGAGAUCUCCAUCUAAAUCUCUGUUCUUUUGCAAGACAGAUCUUAGGUAGCGAAAGCAGUCGCUCUUUGGUAUUUCCUGAUCUCCGAUCCACACCCCUAACUCAUUUUGGCCUCCAUUUGCACUGAACUUGCACUCCAUAUAUUCUGUCUUUGAUCGGCUUAGGCGAAGACCUUUAGAUUCCAACACUUCUCUCCAAAGGUUAAGCUUCACAUUUACCCCUUCCUGAGUUUCAUCUAUCAAUACUAUAUCGUCUGCGAAAAGCAUACACCAAGGAAUAUCAUCUUGAAUAUGUCCUGUUAACUCAUCCAUUACCAACACAAAAAGGUAAGAACUUAAGGAUGAGCCUUAAUGUAAUCCUACAGUUAUGGGGAAUCUUUCGGUUUGUCCUUCAUGAGUUCUUACGGCAGUCUUUGCUCCUUCAUACAUAUCCUUUAUAGCUUGGAUAUAUGCUACUCGUACUCCUUUCUUCUCCAAAAUCCUCCAGAGAAUGUCUCUUGAGACCCUAUCAUACACUUUUUCCAAAUCUAUAAAGACCAUGUGUAAAUCCUUUUUCCCCUCUCUAUAUCUUUCCAUCAAUCUUCGUAAGAGAUAGAUUGCCUCCAUGGUUGAGCGUCCUGGCAUGAACCCGAAUUGGUUGUCCGAAACCCGUGUCUCUUGCCUCAAUCUAUGCUCAAUGACUAUCUCCCAGAGCUUCAUUGUAUGACUCAUUAGCUUAAUACCCCUAUAGUUCAUGCAAUUUUGUACGUCGCCCUUAUUCUUGUAGAUAGGCACCAAAGUGCUCUUUCGCCACUCAUUUGGCAUCCUCUUUGUUUUCAAAAUCCUAUUGAAAAGGUCAGUGAGCCAUGCUAUACCUGUCUCUCCCAAGACUUUCCACAUGCCAGUGAAGAACUCCAGCUACAUUGUUAAUUCCAGGGUACCUACAAAGUUAGCAUCUUAAUUAAAAUUUAAUUAGUAUUUUAUGCAUUAAUAAAAGCAAAGUCCUUGCAUAUAAAUCAAACCCAUCAAAUUAAUUGUACAAUUAAAUCCAAUCCAGACUUGAAAAUCCAAACUUUAUAUCAAAUUGAGAUUUUUUUUUUUGAGCUCACCAGUCGGCAGUUUUUGGAUGCCUGGAACCUCUAAAGUGGAAGCUAAAUGCAUCCCUUUGUACUUCUUUUUGUCUCCUCAUCUUCCUAUUUGUAAAGUCCAAAAAGCUGAAAUCAGAAUUGCUUCAAAUGAUUUGCCAGAUUUUACAAUUCGAAUGUGCUCACAAAUAUUGAGAUCAUAAUUUAACCAUUCUUUAUCACUGCGUAUCAUUUCUUUGUCAGUUUUUUUAUUUUUAUUUUUUAUAAAUCAAAUCUAAACCAAUCUCAAUGGAAAAAAUACCAAACACUUAUUAUCAUUGUACGUAAUUUAAUCUGUACGGUGCAAUGACUAAUCAAAUGAUCAAACAAAGCAAAAAAACUAAACUGAUCACAGAAUUUAAUCAGCAGAGCAAAGUCAGUGACAGUGAAUUUUUAAAUCACAUGUGCUCACAAAUAACUAAUGAUUUUGGUAUUUGCAAAUUGCGGAUAAACUGAUCUGGAAACAGAAGUUGUAGUAUUAGUUUUGUAACAUGCAAGUGAACAACAAUCUGUCAGGCCAAUACUACCUCACACAACCUCAACAACUCCUCCCAUCUUUUCCUCAAAAACUACGAAUCCAUUUAAAUCCAAUAAUUAUCAAUCCAUGUCCAAACCGAAAAAAAAAAUAGAAGCGCCAAAAAUAUACCCAAAAAAUUACAGCAGCGUUGCAUAUGCCAACAAAUCCGAGAUUUGCCAACCAAAGAACGAAAAUGCAAAAUUCUCUUUUAACAGGGAAAACCCAAUAGAGCACCACAACUGGCAAUAAAGGGAAACGAUUAAGGUUUCAUUGAAACAAAGGAAAAAUCAAAAAUAAAAACUGAAAGAAAAUGAUUAUAAAAUAUACCUUGGCUGAAUCACACUUGUUCCACAGCAGGGUGGAAAGACGCCACCCCUGAAAAGGGCUGGAAAUCGGCCAAAAUCCUAGCCACAACCCAAAAAUCCAAAACGGAAAAAAGGGGCAAACAUCAGGAAUUCAUUACCCCCGAUCAGAGAUGUCGAAACCCUCGGAACGCAAAAAAACCCUAAGUGUAAAUAGACGCAUAACGGCCCGGCAACCACAAAGUCCCUUAAACCACAAAAAUCAGCAACCCUUUCUGCGAAACAAAGAACGGAAACCACAGAGAAGCAGAGGAUUGGAAGAAAGAAAGGGCAAAACGAAAAGACCAAAGCCGAAAUCAGGAAAGGCAACGAAGGAACAAAAACCCUAACUCGUUUAGAAGACUCUUGAAGUCGAGAGAAUAAGGAUGACCGACGCGUGGAAAACAGGGGCAAAAAUGUCUCUCCGGCGCACUAAGCAAGCGAGACAAAAGGAAAGAAAACAGAGAAGCGAGGGCAUUUCCGUCCGGACACCAUUAACAAACAGUGCCAUUCGAAACCCAGUUUUAUGAAACCCAGUUUUAGCAUAUAUAAUUUUAGGAUAAACCACAAAUUUUAUUGCAAGUGAGCUUCUGACUGAGGGGGUGCAUUCAAAUUUUAUAUGUACUCAAUCAAGAUUUUGAAUGAAUCUAUAGAAGUUCACAGGUAUUCAAUCAAGAUUUUAAAAGAGUAUAAAAAUUUACAAAUUAGAGUGCAGUCUUUCAGGAUUUUAAAGUAGUUCAUAAAACUCCAUAUGUAUUCAAUUAUGAUUGGAUUUUAAAGUAUUUUAAAUGAUGAAAUAUUUUAAUGGAUUUAGAGGGAUUUUAUACUUUUUUUUUUAAACUUUAACGAAAAGCUCUCAGUACUGUUCACUUUAACGAAAAACCACAUUUUUACGCUAAAAAGUCAAAUUUGGUACUAUUCACUUUACUCUUUAUUUUGUCCUUAUCAUUAAAACUCAAAGUUUUCAAACCAUUUUCAUUAGUUUUUUUUUUUUAUAGGCUUUGGGAAAUCAAACCUUAACCUCUAAGAUUUGUAAUGAUUUCAUCCAAAAUUCACAUGGAAUGUGCGGAACACCAUUAAACUCCAUGAAUUUAAAACUCUUUUAAACUUUUUCAAAUUUUCAAUUGGUCACGGCUAAGUCACGUUAACAUUUUAUAUUACUAUUCCUUUUUGUCUUAUUAUCUCUAUACAAAAAAAUAUAAAAUGUUGACGUGGCUUAACGAUGACUACACAAAACAGGAGGGCACGGGAAGUGGGAGGGCAGAGAAUCUGCCUCCUUAGGGUGUAGGUCUUAGGGUUUCAACGGAGCCCAAAAUCCAGGAACUAGACCCUACGUCAUGUGAUUAACGUAGUGAAAUUUUCUUCUAACAAAAGUCUUAUGUAUGCAUGUUAGUCACAAUUCAUUGUUCAUUGAGAAAGUUAAUUGGCUAUGGCCUUGUAAUAGUAGAGUUGGACAUUAUUGUCAUUUUAACUAGCAAAUUAGUUUGACUUUUUAACUAGUAUCUAAACUAAAAAUUAUAGUAUUUUAGCUUAAAGUUCUUUUGAAUUUGGUAUUUAAACUAAAAGAUCCUUUAAAUAUUUUGGAAUGGUUGGAAUUUCGUCCACAAAUGCUUGCUUGGUGGGUUUGAAAAGCCUCCACUGUGAGCAAACGUGGAUUAGGCAAGUUGGUUAGGGUAAUGUGCCUGCACAACUCAAGUUUGAAUCUCUCAUUUCCGUAAAUUAGAGCAAUUUAGAAUAUCAUUUUAGGCAGCGGUAACACCGCUGAUAGAUUGAUAUGGCCCUUCACAAAAUCUGGUGAGUUCUGUGUCAAACUAGGCAUCAUUGGGCUCAUAUCAUAUCUUUGUCUAAGGCUAGCUCCAACAAGCCAUGCUCGUCUCACAGUCUUAAUCCGGACAUAUGGUAUAGGAUUUGGGGUUGCAACACUCUCCCUAAAAUCAAGCUCUUUGUAUGGCGAUUGAUCGUGCACUCCCCACCUUUGAUUGCUUAUUUCGUAGGAAGCUAAGCCCCAAUCCCUUGUGCCCCAUAUGCAAAACGCACCUUGAAACUUCAGCAUAUUUGAUCUUUCAGUGCCAAUGGGCUAAAAGGGUGUGGUUUGGUAGAGACCCGGCCUAUAGACCCAAUCUCACUUUCACCUCACCCUUUCAACGACAAGUUCACCCUUAUGAUUAAUUACUCAAAAAGUAAAAUGCCAUUAUAAAUAAAUAGAAAAACAAAAUCAAAUUAAACAUUAGAAAACAAAAUAUAGCAAAACCUUAUUCGUCUUCUUCUUCCCCUUCGAAUUGUUUUCUGACCACAAACAUUUCUCCGCACCAAUUAACAAUAACAUAAUUUUUUGAAUGAUAUCAGUAAAACAUUGAACAAAACUGCUUUUCCAAAAGUGAAUUUUAUUCCCAUUUCCAGUUAUAAACUUUGAUAAGGCAAGAAAAACAGUGAGAGGACUAUGAAUCGAACUGAGUUGUAGUAGACUUCGGGCGAGAGGACUGCGAAUCGAAUUUGAGGUGAAAUGUUGACCCGUACAAAGUUCCGGAGUUGAACUUUAUAUCUUUUCUAGGGUUAAUUGGCCCCCAGUGUACUUCUCUCCGUCUUGGGACUUUGUCAUGCUCAUCAGAGAGGCUGUGUCGUUGUCGGAGUUACUGGCUCCACCGGAAUAGUGUUGGACUGAGUUAGUCCAACGUCACAGGAUCUGAAAAGGAGAAGAGAUGUUAGCACAUAUCCCCUUUGGAAAAAAAAUGAUAACAAAUAGUUAGGUCGAGCUCUUUGUUUCAUGGUAAAGUGAUUUAAACUUUUCAAAGUAAUAAGAGAUUAGAACAAAAUAAAUAAAGGUAUUGAAAACCCUCCAGUCAUGAAGUAGUUAUGACCGUCGUCCUUAUUUUUGUUGUCGCUCGCAGACAGGAUUUUUACAAUCAAAUCAACACCAAUUUGAUUAAAAAAGAUAUCUUUUUAAACCUUAAGUGGUCCUCAACAAAUCCCCAAAAGGAACAUUCCUUUGAAUAUGCCAUCUUGACCUUCAAAAUUCCCAAAACGUCCCGAAACGUCAAUCUGGAAAAGCUGCAUACUGGGCCUUCCUUUCUUCGCCACGGCCAAACGACGUGGAAUUAAAUUUUGGAAUUUUAACACAAUUAUCUUGAAAAUCUCACAAAUCCACUUUAAUUGAAAUUGCUCCAAGAUUCCUUCGUUUGAUCACUUUUUGCCCAAAGUAGAUUCACAUGUCGAUAUAGUGAUUUAGACGGGGGGAUAUGAAUUCACUCUCAGAAUUAUCCAUGAUCCCUGGCGAAGAGGGAAUGGGGUUGAUUAGGGGUGUGGUUGAUUUCACAAAGGACUACCUACAUAUCUCCGAGAAGGAGAAUCAAAUCACAAGUAGGGGUGCAACUUGGGUUGGGCCAAUCCAAACCCGCCCAUGUCCAACCUGACUUUAAACCCAAACAAGUGGAUUUUUUUUAGUUAUAACCCGCCCAAACCCAACCCAAUUUCAACCCAUUCAUUAAUUGGGUUGAGUUAGGUUGAUCAUUUGUCCGUCCAUCCCCCCAACCAAACCUGACUAACCAAACCCAAUCUAACCAGAUUGUAGCCCAUAUUAAUUAAUGCUCAUACUACACCCAAGUGAGCCAAGUCCAAAAUCCAACGCCCUUUCUAAUUUUUUUUUAAUAAAUUACCCUUUAUAAUUACUUAAGCUUUUAGAGAAUAAGAGGUUUUAAUUAGUCAGCCCAUAUUUGUAGUCUCUAAAUCCUAAAGCUUUAUAGUAGAUUGAUUUAUGCUACUUGGCUUAUUUUUUUUAGGAAUUCUUGGAAACUAUGUGUUACAAGAUUAAACUUGAAAAAGUUGAGCAACCGGAACCCAACCCAAGUAAACCCUAACCCAAUUAAAACCAAGCCCAAAUGAACCCGAAUGCAACCCGAGCCCGAAUUGUAAAAGUUAGGUUAUGAUUGGUUUGACCUUCCAACCUGCCCAACCCGCUCGAGUUGCACCCCUAACCACGAGUGUAGUUUUAUGAAAGAACAGAGUAAACCAUCAUUAACAAAUAGUCUAUGACGGGGCGUUGGGAGAUAAAUUCUCCAUGGACGUGUCUACGCAUAAAUGGCAUCGUAAGGGCCUCUAUUAGGCAUUGAUAGAAUAAGUGUGUUGUGGUUUUGUAGAGGGAUAUAUCUAACUGUAGGUAGAUAUCUAUGGUAGUUUUGUAGAGAAUAAAGUAAUCAUCCUAAAGAGAGAUAUAGUUGCUCUCCUAGCAAGGGAUAUAACUGCUUCUCGAAAAAUACCCAAUGAUAGGAGCAUAUUUAUGCGACUUAGUUGCCUUGUUCUUGUGCAUUUAUGUCGUGUUUCCUUAGUUAUUUUAAUGUUUAAAGUCAUUUUCGUGUGUUUUCAGACUCGAAGUACAAAGUAUGCAAGAAGAUGCAUUUUGGAGGCCUUUGGAGCAUGUUUCGGGCUUGGAAUGGAUAGCAAAUGCAUGGGCCAAGUGGAUGGACGAAUUUGAGAACUAAAGAGGCCAAGAAUAUGAAGAAUUAUGGUCCAAAAGAUGAAGAAAACAGCCCAAAAAUCUGUCACCCCAACUUGCAUUCCUUGCCAUGCAAACCACAUAGAAUUCCCUUUGGAUUCCAUGCCAUGCUUGAUCACUCUUGUCCCCUACAUAAUUUCUAAUUUCAUGCUUCAAUUCAUUUAAUUAUUACACUCAAUUGCUUGAUACCUCUUGUUCCCUUCACUCAUUAGAUUUUAGACAACAUUUACAUCCAUUACAUGCACCAAUUGAUGCUCCAUCAUUCACAUUUGGAAUCCCAUGCCUUGUGUACCACAUGUUGCUGCACCUUUGACCCAUUUAUUAACACAUUUUCACCUCCCUUUCCAUCUUUAUGCAAUGUACACAAUCAUUCAUGCCCCUAGCUACAAGACCACUCCAUUUUACCCUUCACACUUUGCAUCAUCACUUCAUUUUCACCCUUGGACCAUUGCACACCACACACACAAAUUGCCAUGCAUUUCAUCCUUAACCUAACCUGAUUUUCGAAGGUUUUUGGGGCCUAUAAAUACAUGUUUACACCCCUUGGCCAAAGAAUAAUCCCCCAUAUUCAUCAUUUUAUCACAGAAAUUCGUCCAUACACACCCUAGGAAGCAAAACACCCCAAAAACACCAUUCUAGUGCCUAGAAAACAUAACAGCCACUCCACCUUCUUCCACCCUCUUUGCCUAGUUCUCCACCACCUUCCAACCAUCAAACACUCUUCCACACUCACCCUAAACCCCUCCAUAUCAUUCCCCAUCCAUUCUACACCAUAAAUCCACCCAAAAAUCUGUCCACAAGCUUCAUGCCGCAACAAGGAGGAAGGGAGAUCCAUUGAUGCACUUGCUUUCCAAGUUGGAGCAUUUUAGGUGUUUUCUUUCCUUUGAUUUUAAUGUCUAAUUUUAUGUAUCUUUGUAUUGCAAGAAUGAGGAACUAAACCCCCUUAGUUGGGGGGUGAUUCGAAACCAUGUACAUGCUUGCAAUAUGAUUUGAUUACAUUCAGUUGUUAUUUCAUAAGUUGCGGAUUCAAUUCGUUCAUCUACUUAAUUGAUAACUUAUUUUUGUAUGUUGAUUGAGAGUGCACGCUUAGUUUUCAUGCAUGAAUAUAAUGCUAGAUUAUGAGGGAGUUUCACCUAAUAGUUACAAUCUUAUAAUCACAAGUAGUGAAGGUCGCUUGAAAACGAUCGCGUUGAAUGAAUUCUUGGCACUAGUUUCAUGCUCAUCAUAGUAACGAAUGCCUCGUCAACACUUAUAGUUCUCAUUGUGCUUCAUGAUUCUUGAUUGUAUCUUUAUUGUGCUCAUCACGUAAGGAACCUUUGAGGAAUUCUUUGAAUUGUUGUAUGCGCUUUUCCAUCCAAUUCAUUAACUUAAGGAGAACUUGAAGGUUAAUUUAAGCGUAUCUAAUUAACUUGGGGUGUUGAGUUUCAUAAUUUAUUGAAAGAACAACUGAAAAUCAUUUUGUUUGCAAGUGUGUCAUGUGUGGAGAAGAACCUCCUAACUAGCCUUUUAUCCAUCCUUUUCAUCCAAAAACGUUUUUACAAUCUGUUUUGUUUUAAAGUUUCUGUUUUGUUUUCAAUUUUCGUCCAAAACAAAUCCCCCUUUAUUUUGAAGUCUUAGAUUAGUUAGAAAGUGUUUUGAUUUGUGUUUUCUAAGUGUUUUGAUUCAAGUUUUCAUCCAACUUCGUCCAAGUUCUUGUUAGGUUCUCAAAACUGCCCAGAAAGUGGUUUUUAGGCAGUUUUGAGUCAUUAGGUUGCUGUUUUGAGUUUUAUGUUUGUUUAAGUAUUUUAAAGUAUAGUUUUGCAUUCUUUGAGUCUAGUUUAGUGUUUUAAAUUUUGUUUUUAUGUUUUUAAGUCAGUUUUCAAGUGUUUAGCAAUCCCUCCUAAUCCCCGGCCUAGAACGAUCCCUACUUACAUACUUUACUACAUUUGAUAAAAAGAGGGUUUAAUUUUGUGUGCUAACUUAUUUUACGCAUCAAAUUUUGGCGCCGUUGCCGGGGAUUAGCAACUUUGCUAAUCUCUUGGAUUGUUUUCUUUCGAAUUAUUGUAUUUUGUUUAAGUUUCUGUUUAAGUUGCUGAUUUGUUUUGUUUUCUUUGUUUUUAGGUACUAGUUUAUGACCCAUAGCUCACAACCUGUUCGUGAGCAUAUCUCCAACUUUGACGGUGAUUUUGAGAGGACUUUGAGAAGGAAAAAGAAAUUGCAAGAGUCUAAUCCUCCUAGUCCCGAGCCUGAAUUAGAAGAGCAAGAAGUUGAGGUUGAAGAGAAGGCCACGGCACAAGUGGGUGGAGAAGAGCAAGGUAUAGCCAUGGACAACCGUACGCUCAAGGAGCUUGCCGCCUCGGGUUUGGAUAAUGCCGCACCAUUGUGUAUCCAAUAUCCCAUGGCUGCUUAAGGUAAAACUGAAGAGUUCGAGAUAAAGUCAAGUUUGCUCCACCACAUUCCAAAGUUCCAUGGGCUGUCCAUGGAGGAUCCGAACAAACAUUUGAAGGAAUUUGAAGGAAUUUGAAGUGGUAUGCUCAAGUAUGACUCCAGUUACCGUUGACGGAAGUAUUUUAAAGAUGAAGGCUUUUCCAUUCUCUUUAAUGGACAAAGCCAAGGAUUGGUAUACGAGUUGGCUCCCGGUACAGUUACAUCUUGGGAGAGUAUGAAGAGGGCGUUUCUGGAGAAGUUUUUCCCGACUUCUCGCAUCAUUCUUCUUUGUAAAAAAAUAAGUGGAAUUCAGCAAAGCCAAGGUGAAUCUUUUCCAUCUUAUUAUGAACGAUUUAAAUCACUUGUUGCUUCUUGUCCACAGCAUCAGAUGAAGGAGGAGUUACUUCUUCAAUACUUUUACGAAGGUCUUUUACCACUUGAACGGCAAAUGUUGGAUUCUUCCGCGGGAGGAGCUCUAGUGGAUAAGACACCUAGGGAUGCCAAAACUCUCAUUGCGAAUCGAGCACUCAAUGCACAACAAUAUGAAGGUGUUGGGCAAAGAGACACCCCACGGCCACAUCAUGUCAAUGAGGUAAGUUCUAUUUCUGAGUUACAAUCCCAAAUGGCUAACCUUACGUCUAUGUUAUCGCAGUUUAUUGAAGGCCCCAAAACGCAAGGAACUACAAUCUGUGGUGUAUGCUCCAUUCAAGGACACCAAUCUGAUCAAUGCCCUCAAUUAAUUGAGAAUGGAGGAUGGGAAUCGGCCAAUGCUGUGGGUUAUGGGAAUCAAAACCAACCAAGGAAUGAUCCUUUCUCCAAUACAUACAACCCGGGAUGGCGUGACCACCCCAAUUUCAGAUGGAGAGAUGCACCACAAUAUGGCCAACAAAGUGGAUUCCGACAACCCCCGGGUUUCUUUCCAAGGCCAAUGGAACCACAACCACCUCCUCAGGCACAAUCUUCCCAAACUAACCCAGUUACGUCUAUGAAUGAUGAUAAAAACAUAUCAGUUACUAACCACCAUGGCACAGGGAAUGCAGAACCAAGCAAAGGAGGUUAAUGAGCUGAAGAAGCAAAUGGCCAAAUUUUUGGGGCAAUUCCGUGAAAAUGGUAAGUUACCAAGCACUACGGUGGUCAAUCCAAAGGGUGGCUUCGAAUCUGCAAAGGCUAUCACAUUACGAAGUGGAAAAGAGGUGAGAAACAAGGAAGAUGAGAAGAUACAACUCGAAGAAGAUGAGAACACCUACCCCACGGCAAGGGUACCAUCACCCAUGCCGCAAUCAUCUAAGACAUCCCAUCCGUCCACCUCAGGUAAGAAUGUUCCAAAUGUUGUGAUUUCGAACACUAAUCUGCCCAAUGUCCCCUUUCCUAGCAGAUUUUUGCAAUUAAAGAACGAAGAGGAGGAAAAAGAUGUUCUAGAGACAUUUAGAAAGGUGCAUGUCAACAUUCCCCUCCUUGAUGCCAUAAAGCAAAUCCCGAAGUAUGCCAAGUGUUUAAAGAAGCUUUGUACAACAAAGAAACGUGUCCGGGAGAAAGAGGUGGUACAUGUAAGUGAGAAUGUCUCCGCCAUCUUGCAACAUAAACUACCCCCCAAAUGCAAAGACCCGGGAAGUUUUACAAUUCCAUGUGUCAUUGGUAAUACCCGUUUCAAAUCUGCCAUGCUAGAUUUAAGAGCAUCUAUUAAUGUUAUGCCAUAUUCUGUGUAUGCAUCUAUGAAUCUAGGAGCACUUAAACAUGAUGGUGUAAUCAUACAAUUGGCCGAUAGAUCUAACGCUUAUCCAAAGGGAGUUUUGGAAGACGUUUUAGUGCAGGUUGAUCAUUUAGUCUUCCCAGCGGAUUUCUAUGUCCUCGAAAUGGAUGAAUUGGACCAUGCCCCUUCAUUGCCCAUCCUUCUUGGAAGGCCAUUCAUGAAAACGGCUCAAACGAAGAUUGACGUGGCCAAAGGAUUAGUCACUAUGGCAUUUGGUGGUGACAUGAUUAGUUUUAAAAUUUCUGAAUCCAUUGAGACUCCUAAUAUUGUUCAUUCUUGUUGUGCCAUUGGUAAAAUUGAAAAGAUAAGACCGGACCAUUCAGCACCAAGCACGAAGGAUGCAUCAAGAACCAUGCAAGACGAGGGAAUUGGAGUGGAGUACAAGGACCAUACGGCCACUGCCCUCAAAAUGCUCAAAGUGGCCGAAAGCACCAUGGGGAAGAAUGUUCACAUUGCUGCCACUUCAUCACAUCACAUAGGUAAGCCACCUAAUCCAAAUCCAAUGCCAUUUAAAGUUGAUAGGUGGUUCCCUUCUUUGGUGCAGGUACCUAAGCAAAUCCCCGAUGGUGGGCGUAUGAACAUGAACCUUAGACAACACAACGCACCCAUCAACAAACAUCACUAUCCAUUUCCGUUCAAGGAUGUAAUCUACGAGAACUUUGUGGAGCAUGUUGUGGAGGAUAUCCCACUGCAUGCCGUGGGUUCCAAGGAGAAGUGAAGGUGUUCAUCGUCCGGCUGGAAGACGUUAAAGCAAGCGCUUUAAGGGAGGCAACCCAUUUAUUCUGCUUGAUUGUCAAUUUUAUUACUUGUUUAAUUAUUUUUUGUUAUGAUUUUCUAUUUUGAAAUAUUAACAAAUAUGCAAGGGAUUUUUGACAUUAAACUUCAUGAAAUGAACAGGAAUCUGGGAAAUAAAGAAACAUAACAUAAUACAAGAGGAAGAGCCUUCACAAAGGCUGCUUGGGAGAGGUCGUAGUAGUUGGCGGAGUCUCAGCAGUCGGUGGGGCCACGGAAGGAGGAGGUAUCAGAGGUUGAUCAGUUGGAGCUUCACUGCGCGGUGCCAUCCUAGAAGACGAAGGCAGAUGCUGUUGGAACAAACCCACAAACCUCCGGUGAUCAAGUAAAAUCUGACCAUCAGUUUCCUGCAGCUGGUCAAUUUUCCUCUUCAUGUUUGUGGCAUAAAUGUGUGCAAGCUUAUGCAAUUGUUUAUUUUCAUGCUUGAGUCCUCUAAUCUCCUCUUUGAGACUCUGUAUUUCAGCCACCAACGAUUCAACAUGACGGGUUCGAGCAAAUAGGCGUUGGGCCAUGUUGGACACAGAACCCGCACACUGCACGCUAAGAGCCAGAGACUCCUUAACCGCCAAUUCAUCAGACCGUCUAGCGAGCAGUCUGUUAUCUCUGGGGGUGACAAGGUUCCGGGCCACCACCGCAACGGUCAUGUCAUUUUUCAUCACCGAAUCCCCAACGGUGAGGGGACCGGUAGGGGAUAUGAAGGAUGGGCGCCAUAUGUUGUCUGGUGAAGGCGGAGCUGCCUCUUCACCAAUGUUCAAGUCAAAACGACGAUCGGAAGGGCCAGACAUUUUUCAGAGGUGAUGAAGAAAGAAGAGAGUCGGACUAAUUAAGAUUUUGGAAGUGCAAGAAGGGAGUGUUUACAGAAGGGAGCUCAAGUGUGUUGUGGAACAAAAUUAACGCCUCUAUAAAAAGAAGAAAUCAAAGAGGCGCUCCUCAGAAAUCGAAGAAGCGUCCUCUCGCAAAUCGAAGAGUCGAGGCUCCUUUCUCAAAAGCCGAAUUCUUUUCUCAAAAGAGGCGUUUCAUUUCUCAAAAAAUGGGCUUGCUCAGAAACCACGAGCCGAACCCCGGAUUUCAAAAGAUCAAUUUGUCCAGACGUGUCGUCACUCGUCACAUGCAACUUGCAGCUUUGCGGAAAUUACGGGCAGCUUUGUCAGAAAGCGCGUAAUUUGUACUAUUCAUCCAUCCACCGGCUGCCGACAAUGAGUGAGAGAAUAGUUCCGGUUGUGAAGAAAAGCCCUAUAAGUAUCUACCUUCGCCUUCCACAGCAAAGGCACACCCUCUCAGCACUUCUUCAUCUCUCUGAAAUGGCUUUCCAACAAACCCUAUCGAGUCACUCAGUGUUCCUUAUUCCCUGGGAUACCCCUGGGAUACCCCUGCCGACAAUGAGUACUCAUCAUCUUAUGUUUCCGCUUCGUCUCUCACGCAUAAGGGAAGUGAAGAUGAUACCUUGAAGCAUGUGGAGACAACGUGCUGAUUCAUCCUCAACUAGGGACAAGGAGAAAGAGAGCAAGAGGUGGGGGCACUUGGAAAGAUUGAAGAAAGAAAUAGACCAACACCUUUGCCUCGUGCCUGCCCACCGUGCAGAAGAAACAAGCAGAGAAGAAUGCAGACUGCACUCUGAUAUUCCCCGCUCAGAAUUCCAAACCAAUUCAAGAUCAAAGCUGUGGAAAGUCAACAAGAUCAACUAUCUCCAAAACCAGAUUUGCGUUCUUAAACUCUACUCUGUCUGGUUUUUACUUUGCCAUAUUUGUCAUGUUUAUUUGUCGUUUGUUAUUUGCUUGUUUUUGGUGUGAGUAUAUGCUUGAAACAUUGAGGACAAUAUUUGAUUUAAGUGUGGGGGGGGGGGUAACUAGUGUUUUGCAUAAAAUUCGUAGAAAAUUAUCACCCAUUACUUCUAGUGUUGUUCCUUACUGUUUUAAGUAUUUUUUUAAAGCUGUUUUGGAGUAUUUCAGUGUGUUUUGACAUAAAAAUCCGAAAAUUCAUAAAAAUUUGAAAAAUUGUUUUUGAAAAUCCCAAAAAGAGUUGUUUUUGUGUGCUUAUUUGUGUCUUAGGGUACCUUUAUUUAUUCUUUAUUUAUGCGUGAUUGUGGUUAUAACUUAUGAAAUCACACGUAAUCAUAAAAGAAAAAAAAAUUAGUUUUUUUUGUAACAUGCUUCAAGGAAAGAACUCAAACUAAUGCUACAACCUUGUGAGACUUGAGCCUAAAUGUUUAUUUGGAGAGUUAAAAUCUGUGCUUUAUUGUUUUCUAAAGUCGUUGCAUGAUCUCAUUAUUCUUUGCUUGGUUAUUACUUAGAAGGCGUUUCAUCAUUUAGUUCCAAAUGCUAGAACUCAUGCCUAUUUCAUUCAAAGCAUGCUAUUGAUUUGCAUAACACAUAUUCAAGAUGAAGUUGUGUAGUUACCACCACCAAAGCCAAACUGCCAUGUAUCCCAUAUCGUUAUAUGUUUAAGUUAACCCCAUUGAGCCUUGAUAGCCUACAUUCUUUGUUAAACCACAUUAUCCUUACCUAUCCUAGUUUAGGACCAUCCACCCUUGUUCUUGAAGCAUAGUGAAGUAUGAGUCAAAUUGAAUUCCUUUUGAUUAAUGUAUGGCAGAAAACAAGUGUGGGGGAAGUGAUUCUUGUGUGUGUGUGUAUGCCAAAAUCAUUCAUAAGGCAUGAGUAGAAAAGAAAGAUUCGUGAAAAAUAGAAUGAAAAGAAGAAGAGAUGUGAAAAGAAAAGGAGUUGAAAAAUAUGUGAAAAAGAGUUUUAAAGUGUUGCUUGUUGAAGAAAGGGUCCAAAACAUUGAAUUCGGCCCUAAAUAUUGCUUGAAUCUUCCCUUCGUGUUUAAAAGUUGAUUACUGCAAUCUAAGUGAAUUCUAAGUUUCCAUUUCAUUACUUUUCUUGCUAUUGCUUUAAGAACGUUUGUUAUCCCUAUCCUUCAUUUGUUAGCCAACACCCCAAGCCCGUUACAACCUUUGACUUCAAUCUUGAGUGUUAUGUGUUUCAAUUUGUGGAGUUUGAAUUUGGUAUGAGCAUAUGGUGUCACUGGUUCUCGCGUCUAAGUAAUAGCAUUCUAUUCAUGAGAUCAUAUCUAAACAUGCUUAUUAACUCCAGAAAUUGCUUUCUUUGUGAUACAUAUAUGUGAGCAUUCGUUUUCAUAUCUACAUCAAUCUUCUCACAUAUACUAGUAUAGGGUGUGUAGUUGGAAAAUCUGAGUGAAAAUUGAGUGCAUAUCUUGUAAGGAAUUGAGCGAAUUCUCUAAGGCAUGUUACUACAUCAAAAACAUUGUUUUAAUUGAUUAAUUGUGAACUAGUAAGUGGUGACUAUGAUUAAGUAUGUGCUUAAGUGUAAAGAUGACUCAAAUCUGUGGGGAUAAUGAUUUUUAACAUGUCAUGUGCAUUGGAAAUCACUGAGGCAAAUGUUGGAAGGUUUAGGUUGUGUUUUAUUUGUUUUGUUUCGUUUUAUUUCUUUGUUUUGCUCGAGAACUAGCAAAAGCUAAGUGUGGGGGAAUUUGAUAGGAGCAUAUUUAUGCGACUUAGUUGGCUUGUUCUUGUGCAUUUAUGUCGUGUUUCCUUAGUUAUUUUAAUGUUUAAAGUCAUUUUCGUGUGUUUUCAGACUUUAAGUACAAAGUAUGCAAGAAGAUGCAUUUUGGAGGCCUUUGUAGCAUGUUUCGGGCUUGGAAUGGAUAGCAAAUGCAUGGGCCAAGUGGAUGGACGAAUUUGAGAACUAAAGAUGCCAAGAAUAUGAAGAAUUAUGGUCCAAAAGAUGAAGAAAACAGCCCAAAAAUCUGUCACCCCAACUUGCAUUCCUUGCCAUGCAAACCACAUAGAAUUCCCUUUGGAUUCCAUGCCAUGCUUGAUCACUCUUGUCCCCUACAUAAUUUCUAAUUUCAUGCUUCAAUUCAUUUAAUUAUUACACUCAAUUGCUUGAUACCUCUUGUUCCCUUCACUCAUUAGAUUUUAGACAACAUUUACAUCCAUUACAUGCACCAAUUGAUGCUCCAUCAUUCACAUUUGGAAUCCCAUGCCUUGUGUACCAUAUGUUGCUGCACCUUUGACCCAUUUAUUGACACAUUUUCACCUCCCUUUCCAUCUCUAUGCAAUGUACACAAUCAUUCAUGCCCCCUAGCUACAAGACCACUCCAUUUUACCCUUCACACUUUGCAUCAUCACUUCAUUUUCACCCUUGGACCAUUGCACACCACACACACAAAUUGCCAUGCAUUUCAUCCUUAACCUAACCUGAUUUUCUAAGGUUUUUGGGGCCUAUAUACUCAAGACUUUUUCGACGCACCAGUCGAAAACAUUAUCUAGAAAAAUUUUGGCGACCGCCCGAAGAGGACUUCACCCCUUCAGUUGCUUGGAAAUAGCAUACCAAUGGGCCAGCAGUCGUUCCAUGGUACAUGAAACCACGGCCCGGCGUCUGUCUUGUUUUCCUUAAGACAUUAGUAUCUGCGAUCAAGUCGGCCAACCCAAAUCUCUUCGAAUCUUGAUGGACAGUCUCGGCGCCUACCUCGAUGGCUUUCUAUACCGAAAUUCAAGUUGGCCGUCCUUUCUCGUUCAAACUCUAUAAGGUAAUAUAGCCAACGUGAUCAUCGUAAUACCGUGCCUGAAUCAUAUGGGCUUCAAACGGCUAAUUGUCGGCUGAAUGAACCACAAUAGAUUUGCCAUCCCAAAAAAUGAGAACUUGAUAUAAUGAAGAGGGAAUACAAUUUGCUUGAUGGAUCCAAUCCCGACCGAGCAAUGCAUUAUACUCAGUCUUGGAAACAACGAUAAAGAAUGAGGUCAUGUGAUUGCGUCCUACAAUGCUUACCUCCAAAGGAAGUACUCUUUUGGUCUGAGACUUGUCGCCGACAAAGCUGCUCAUGGUUAUUCCUGAUGGAAUAAGUUCGUCGCAAUGCAUUUAUGACGGAUACGUGCAUGAUAUUAACCGUAGCCCCACAAUCGACGAAGAUUUUGGAGAUUGGAUAGCCUUCAAUGUAAGCCGUGACAUACAACGACUUCAAAUGUUGAAGAUUAACCAAAGAAGAGUGGGGAAAGUACAACCAGAGCUGCUUUAAGUUUAUCGGCUUUACUCGUUUGCUCAUCUUCCUCGGUGGCAAUAAAAUCAACUUGUGUUGCUUCCUUGACAACCACAUCCCUAUCCAAGGAAUUUGGUUAGUGUGUGGUUGGCUGAAAUUUAGCAGGUAAGACAUGGACCAUGCUGAUUUCCAUAUUGUCAAGGACUGAAUGACCCAUCGGGUCUUGGUCGUUGUCCUCUAAGUUAUCGAGUACGGUAUCAUGCUUUGGAGCAUCCUCGACUUGAUCAUCCCUUGCCUCAUCGGGUACCUGCUCUUGUGGUAUGUCAACUGAACCUGUUUCAUUCUGGCUGCCGUCCUCGAGCUUGUUCAUUGCUGGGGUUUGAUUUUUUCCUUGCAAUGCUUUACGGACUCGUUCCGCAUAGGCGAUUCGGGCAUUGCUUAUGUCUAGGUACGCAUCCAAACGCUCCACAUGAUCUUUCUCAUUGGCCGUAAGGCCAAAAAGAGAUACGGCUGAGUGAUAGGAGCAUAUUUAUGCGACUUAGUUGGCUUGUUCUUGUGCAUUUAUGUCGUGUUUCCUUAGUUAUUUUAAUGUUUAAAGUCAUUUUCGUGUGUUUUCAGAUUUUAUGGACAAAGUAGGCAAGAAGAUGCAUUUUGGAGCAUUUUGGAGCAAAAUGGGGCUUGGAAUGGAUAGCAAAUGCAUAGGCCAAAGUGGAUGGACGAAUUUGAGAACUAAAGAGGCCAAGAAUAUGAAGAAUUAUGGUCCAAAAGAUGAAGAAAACAGCCCAAAAAUCUGUCACCCCAACUUGCAUUCCUUGCCAUGCAAACCACAUAGAAUUCCCUUUGGAUUCCCAUGCCAUGCUUGAUCACUCUUGUCCCCUACAUAAUUUCUGAUUUCAUGCUUCAAUUCAUUUAAUUAUUACACUCAAUUGCUUGAUACCUCUUGUUCCCUUCACUCAUUAGAUUUUAGACAACAUUUACAUCCAUUACAUGCACCAAUUGAUGCUCCAUCAUUCACAUUUGGAAUCCAAUGCCAUGUGCAACACAUGUUGUUGCACCUUUGACCCAUUUGUUGACACAUUUCACCUCCCUUUCCAUCUCUAUGCAAUGUACACAAUCAUUCAUGCUCCCUAGCUACAACACCACUCCAUUUUACCCUUCACACUUUGCAUCAUUACUUCAUUUUCACCCUUGGACCAUUGCACACCACACACACAAAUUGCCAUGCAUUUCAUCCUUAACCUAACCUGAUUUUCUAAGGUUUUUGGGGCCUAUAAAUACAUGUUUACACCCCUUGGCCAAAGGACAAUCCCCCAUAUUCACCAUUCAUCACAGAAAUUCGUCCAUACUCACCCUAGGUAGCAAAACACCCCAAAAACACCAUUCUAUUGCCUAGAAAACAUAACAGCCACUCCACCUUCUUCCACCCUCUUUGCCUAGUUCUCCACCACCCUCCAACCAUCAAACACUCCUCCACACUCACCCUAAACCCUUCCAUACCAUUCCCCAUCCAUUCUACAUCAUAAAACUACCCAAAAUCUGUCCAUAACCCAAUCUGCCGCAAGCAAGGGAAAGGAGGAAUCUUGGAUGCACUUGCUACCAAGUUGGAGCAUUUUAGGUGUUUUCUUUCCUUUGAUUUUAAUGUCUAAUUUUAUGUAUCUUUGCUUUGUGAGUAUGAGGAACUAAACCCCUCUUAGUUAGGGGGUGAUUCGAAACUAUGUUCAUACUUGCAAUAUGAUUUGAUUACAUCCAGUUGUGAUUCAUAAGUUGUGAAUUCAAUUUACUUAUCCGUUCAUAUAAAAACUAAUUUGUAUGUAUGUUGGUUAAGAGUGCACGCUUAAUUUUCAUGCAUGCAUGAAUUUGACGCUAGAAUAUAAGGGAGUUUCACCUAAUCGUUAUAAACUUAUAUUCACAAGUAGUGAAGGUUGCUAGUCACAAUCACGUUAAGUAAACUCUUGGCAUAAGUUUCAUGCAAAUCAUAGUAACGAGUGCCUCGUCAAUGCUUAUGUUUUUCAUAGAACUUAAUGAUUCUUGCUUGUAUCUCUAUUAUGCAAUUCAUGUAGGGAACUUGUAGGGAAUGUUUUGGGUUGUUGUAUGCAAUCAUCCAACCUAAUAACUUGUGGAAAAAACUGAGGGUUAAUUAGUGCAAUUCACGGUUAAUUUGGGGCGUUGAGUAUUCAUAGCUUAUCGAAAAGCAACUGGAAAUCGUUUUGUAUGCAAUGCAAGUGUGACAUAUGUGGAGAAGAACCUCCUACCUAAUCUUCCAUCCAUAAGUUUCAUUCAAAUUCACUUACAAUCUGUUUUGUUUUACAAAGUUUGUUUUGUUUUCAAAUUCAUUAAAACCAAAAUCCCCCUUUUACUUUAUUGUUUCAAAGUGUUUAAUUUCUGUUUUGGUUGUGAGUUAGAGUGUUUUGAUUCACCCAAAUUUGUCUAAGAAUUUGUUUACUUUGUUCUUGUCUUAAUUUAAUUAUUUUCGUCAAAAAUCAACCCCAUCUUAUUUCUUUGAGUCAUAUUAAUUAGAACUUGUCUUAGAUUAUGUUUUUAAGUGUUUUAGUUCAUUAGAAAACCAAAAUUUGUCCAAGUUUGUGUGAGAGUCCCAAAAUUGCCCAGAUUGUGUUUUUAAGGUAGUUUUGAGUGUUUAGGGGCUGUUUUGAGUCUUUUGGUUUGUUUUAGUGUUUUAAAGUAUAGUUUUGCAUUCUUUGAGUCUAGUUAGUGUUUUAAACUUUGUUUUUACGUUUUCAAGUCAGUUUCCAAGUGAUUUAGCAAUCCCUCCUAAUCCCCGGCCUAGAACGAUCCCUACUUACAUACUUUACUACAAUUGAUAAAAAGAGGGUUUAAUUUGUGUGUUUAGUUAUUUUACGCAUCACUGAGAAGACUUCGAAAUGAUGUCGUAAAUACUAAAAGUCUUCAAAAGAAAAAAUGAGCUCAACGGUGUCUAUGUCUGUGUACGGGUCGACCUCAAAACUGAGGACCUGAGCUUCACAUAUGUGCUAGAACCUGGCUUUCAUUGCUGGAUCAGUGGUUUUCUGGAUAAUUUGUUCAGCAUUAGGGCAAGUUAGUGCCAGGUCAAGGGCUUCUUGACAUGCCUUAGGUAGGCCAUACAAGUCAUUGGCAGAAUGUUUCUUGUGAAAUUCUCGCAUGUACUCCAAAGAUUGGUUAAGGAAUUGAGGGUGUAGAUUCCACCGAACUCUUAUUAACGACUCUUGUGGGGUUAAUGGGGGGAGUUUUCUUUCGGCUUCUUUUCUAAAAUACUUGAAACGAGUUUUCAUCUCCCCGAGCUGAAGGAAGAGUUUUCCUGCUGCUUCUUUCAGCUGCCAUUUGGUAGCCGAAGUGGCAUGUGCUGUUUGUCGUCGAGCCAUGCAGUCUAUCCGCUAGUGUCGACAUUUCUGAGAUUUGGAUGAUGCAGUAUACAUGCUAGUGGGAGAAUUGUAACUAUACCAACGUUGGUCGCGUGGCUCAAGUGGCUUGAAGGUUUUUUGAUUCACCGAUGAACUUGAGCUGCUAGAGUUAUGCGAGUAAUAAUCCUCAUUAUAAAACGGUACAUCGAAAACAAGACGUCGUUUCGCUGAGGUGAGGUCGUCCGUUCGUAUGUGAGGGCCGAGCCUAUCAAACACUUUCUGGCGCUGGCCUCCGCCAAGUUCCUUUGGAGGUGUUACCGCGGCCUCGGAUGGUUGUCGUGGUGUUGGAACCUAAUGUGGUCUCUCCUUUGGUUCGGUUAGGACAACGCGUGCUUUACAACUGCUGCACAAAACCAUCGGUCCAUCAAUUUCUUAUGCACUGGAGUCUGACAUAGAUUCGAUUAUGGUUGGCCCCGAAAACUCUAUGGGUGGUUUGUUAGAAAAUAAAUCAAUCUUGAGUCGUGGCCAAGAGUUCUGCUUUGGGACAUGUUGUAUUGGAACGAACUAGGCCUUCCCUUUCCCUUUGCUCUUGGGAAAAUGAGCAUUUACCAUGCCAACUGUCGUCGAGAAGAAGGGAUCAACGUUAAUAAUCAUCUGUUUUUCAGGAAAUUUGAGCUUGCCUUUAUCAAUCCAGCUUUGAAUAGCAUCACAGAAUACAACGUUGUUGUUUAUAAUAUGCUUAUUCAAGUUAUGGUACUUGCAAUACAUUUUCCUUUCAACUCUUCGGCCUUAGGAAUGCUAUGUCCUGGCCGAAGUUUGAUGAUCUUUGCCAGCAACAACUGGUUGAAAAUGGCAUCAGCCUUGGUGAUAUCAAAAGUGUAAACUUUUUAUGUUUUAACUAUCUCUUCAGAGGCCGAGCGGGUUCUGGCAUCCUUGGAAUUAAUUUGAGCCAAUGCCUUGCAAACGUACGGUUUAUCUAUCACCAUCUCGACCCCGUCCACACUGAUGUAUUGGGAAUCCUCGCCUUCCGUUGAUGCGUAGCUAACCGUGGGAUUUUUGUAAAUCGUUCCCAGGAUGGGGACUUCGAGAUCUUUUCCUCUCAGAGUAAAUAAUCAUAUUGCUCGACGUGCUGGGCUAGGUGGUACAUAUCUCGGAAAUUUUCCCCCAAGAAUUUAUUUUUAUAUUCCAUAUCCAAGUCAUUCAGAGCGAUUCUGACGAAUUCAACUUCAGGGAGAGGUACUCGGCACUAGUUUAUGGCCGAUUUGAACCUCAUUAAGUAUUCCAUUGGUGAUUCGUCAGACGCCUGGGCCAUUCUAGCCAGUGAUGAGACUGAGAUUUCCAUCCCCGGCCGAUAGAAUUGUUCAUGGAACUUUUCGACCAGUUCCUCCCAACUUUGGAUGGAAUUUAACGGGAGGUUAAUGUACCACGUGAAUGCCGAGCCUGUCAAUGAGAAGUUGAAUAAUCGUAGUUUAUGGAAGUCACUAUUCACAUCUCUGCAUUGCGCAGUGAACCGGGCCACGUGUUCUAACGAGGACAGAGACGAUUCUCUAGCAAAAAGGCUGAAGUUAAGGAUCAUAAAGCCUUUGGAAUAUUUGAACUUUUCCACAUAAGCUAGAUAUGGAUGGAUAAAUUUUAGGAACUUCGACCCCUUUUUCAAGGCCAAAUCGAUCAUCCUUUGGACCUCGAUCAUAAUGACGGAUGUUGUUUCUACUUUCUGGUCGGAUUCGUCUGUCCUGAUGCUUGAUCCUCUUUUUUUUUCCAAGUUAAUUGCUUUGAGCCGAAUAGAUCUUGUUUCGGCCUGUAGCGGAUUACUCUUGAAUGGAAGUUGUCGAGUACGCUGCUGACUUCUUAAUCUUGCGACUGCGGCCGAGGAAGGAACAUGCCUCAGCCUUCAGGUUCUAGAGCAUGAAAACAAGGUUGCUAGUUCUACUAAGUUCAUAACUCGUCGGCACCGGAUUCAAUCACACUAAUUAUAUUCAUAAAAUUAUAAGCACGCCAAAUCGACACCAAACUAUAUGGGCACAAGUACUCAAAGCAAAUGUGGGUCUUAAUCGUAAACAUAGUUCGGCCGUCAGAAUGCCGAACUCUAAAUCCCACUUGUGAGUAUCUAAUCAUAAAACAACUCGACGUUCAAUGUGCCGAGCCUAGUAAUCUGUAACACCUAAUGAGAUGACCUCUACCAAUAAGGAUUCGAAUAUCCAUCUCGACCAAGACUUGGAUAGAUAAUCAGUCGAGCUCGACGCAGUGCUGUUUAUCCAAACUGAAGGUGCUCUGCGAUCGACUGAUUCUACGGCAACAGUGUUGUUUAUCCAAACUGAAGAUAUUCGCCAGUUGCCUUCACAGUGCUGUUUAUCCAAACUGAAGAUGUGUCAACGAAAAAUAAAAAUCUCAAAGUUGUUGAGAGGUUUCGCGUAGAGCGAGAGUUUGCACAGGGCAGUUUGUGCAUUGAGUAGGAGAGCCCUUAAAAUGAUGCACCCCUUCCUUAUUUAUAGCAGCCAACCUUAUCAUGGUCGAACCAGAACUAUACCCAGAUUAGGAUUCUUUAUCCUAAUCUAACCACGUCUCGGCCACUCCCACCUCCAUUAGGACUUUGAACGAAACUCUUUAUCCGGCCGCAUUCACUUCUCAGAUCUCAGCAUCCUCAUUCCAUUAAGACUCCUUAUCAUACUAAGACUCGACCCAUUCGCUCUUAUCCAAUCCAAUCCCUCUUGCAAUAGGACUUGACCGACCUGACUAGGUGGCUUAUGACCACUGGACGACCCAUAGUAUUUUAUUCAAAGCUUCGGACCGAAUAUAAAACCUAUGCUCGGCCCAAUAAUAUUAUUUUGGGCCCAAACAGGAGGAGACAACCAUUAUGAAAUUAGUUUUUUUUUUUUUUUUUAUCUGUUCAAUUCCCUUAAUGAUCUUAAUGCCUAUGAUUCUUGCUUCAAAUGGUUAAAGGAAGUUUUUGUUCUUUUCAUCUUUAAUGUCAUGCAUUCUUGAUAGUUUUGAAGCCAAAUUUCAUUGAACCAUGCUUGAUUUUGUAAUUCUUAACUAUGAAUUACUUUGAUCAUGAGUCAUUCAAACAUUAUUCUUCACAUACGAUGCUUGGCAUGCUUUGGUCUUAUGAAGUUCAAGAAUUUAACUAUGUUUAAUGCUACUUAGUGAGUUGGGAAUUGUUAGAUAAAUAAUUAGGAAUUUAUGGAUUAAUAGGAGUGGAAUCCGAUACCUUGGUUAAUUCUCUCAUUUAUUUUCUUCACUAAUUUCUUAUUCAUAUGAUUAGCUUCCUCAAGAAAACAACUUUUCUCCAACUAGGUUAGCAUUAAAUUAAUUCGGGUUUGAUUAGUUUUUCAUCAUUUUCAUAAAAUCUCACUCUUCUAUAUUUCAAUAGAUUCGUACGCUUGCGUUUUACCAAUUUUUGGCAUAACAAUUGGCUCGGACAACAGUGGUGGAUUAGACAGGCACUCCUUCAAUUUCGUGAAAGACUAUUCGUCGGUCCAAUGUAGAUCUUUAUACUUUUUUAUGGCAUUGAAGAAUGACUUGCACUUGUACGUUACCUUGAAAGAAAUCGAUUUAGAAUAUCUGCUCUUCCAAUUAAACUUUAAAUCUCCUUCACUGUCCGAGGGGACUUCAACUCCAUAAUAGCCUUGAUUCUGCGCUUGGUUACCAGGUAACCUAAGAAAUUUUUUGAUGCUACUCUUAAGGUGCACUUUUUCAGAUUAAGCUUCAUGUUGCAUUUCUUGAGCAGGUCAAAAGAUUCUUGCAGGUGAAUGAGGUGGUUCUUAUUCACCUUUCUUUUAGUUGUCGACGUAUACUUUCAUCAUCUUUCCGAUCUUCUCCUUGAAGAUUUGAUUUAUCAACCUUUGAUAGGUUGCCCCUACAUUCUUAAGUCUAAAAGGCAUAACACGAUAGAGACAUAUACUCAUGCCCCCUUGCUGUCUAACUCUAGAUGCUGUCACGUGGCAAGCUAGCCACUCAUUGGAUGCCACGUGGCACUUACUCAUUGGCCCAACAUGUAUAUUACCUUAAAAUUCAUCCGAAUUAUUAUAAGAGGAAUUUAAUUUAUUUUCAUCCCGUUUCAAUUUCCUUUUAUUUUAUUCUUGUUUUUUAGUUCGCGUGCUGGGAGCGAUGUUAUUUAUUUUUUCCACCAACUCCGAGUCCGAGGCAUUACAGAAUGGUCAAUGUGAUUGGUACGUGAUUGCUUGCUUUAGAAUCCAGGUACGGGAAAUAUGGCAGACCUUUAUGGAGAUUGAUCAUAUUAAAUUUCGUGGAAUGCUAUAUUAUUAUUCAUUUCAUUGGUUGAUUAAUGUGAUUUGAUGCUAAUUGGAUAAAUUCUUCUCUUGGGUGUACUUGUGAAAUACUAUUCAUUGAACAUAUAGUGUGAUACAUGUGAAAGAUGAAAUGACGUAAUUUUUUGCAAGGCAGGUGAUAGACAAGUUGAGAUUGUGUUAGACGAGGGAUUUAAGAGUUUUAUUUUAUUUUUGUAAACCUUGUAAGGUUUUCGGAUUAUUUGAAUAAGAGAAGUUUAGUUUUUUCGUUUUAUUUUACUUUUACUCUCGCGCCAGGCGCGGGAUUAAUAUUUUGAACGACCCUGGGUCCAGGGCGUGACACAUACCUAUAUCAAUGACCAAUGAUGUUUUUUUCAUGUUCAGCUCGUACAUCUUGAUUUAGUUGUAUUCGAUAUAUGCAUUCAUGAAGUUCAGCAACUCGUGCCCCACUGUGGAAUCGGUAAACAAGUCUACUUGGGGUAAAGGAUAAAGAUCCAUGAGGCAUUCCUUGUUUAUUAAUUCCAUGAAUCCUACACAGAUUUUCUACUUGCCAUUCUUUUUCAACACAAGGACUGUGAUUACAUAGGGAGAAUCCGUAUUAAAUAGAGAGAAUCCCAAAGUGUAUAUAGCAUAAGAUAUUGCUUCCUUAUAGGAUUGUGAUUACUUGUGGUGCACGUCAAUGAUUGACGGUCAAUCCUUAGAUUGUAGGAAUGUCCAAUAAUAUAGGAAACCAAAGCAAUCCCCAGUCAAAUCAGACUUCCUUGUCUUGCAAAACAAGUAUGGUCGAUCUCGACGAGGCCUACGAGCCUUGCCAACCAUUCUGGAGCCCAACAAGGUGUGGUGGCACCAUUAGUCCGUUUAGACAGCUUAAUCUAAUUCGGAGCCAUUGAGUUCUUAACCAAACUUCUGAGGCAUUAGUAUUCCAAUCCACGUCACUCUGGCAAAAAAAAUAUGUGGUCCCACAACUAAUGUUUAUCACUAGAUUUUCUAAUGGAUUUCACUUUCUGUAAGAAAGUUAAUAAUAGCAAACAGUCACAAACUAGUAAUUAGCCCUAGAGAACAACAUAACUCAUGGGCGCAUGCUAACAUGCACAAUCAGGUUAGUGCACAAAAUCUUGUCCAACUAACACAGCGAAAUAUUCAAUAAAAGAAUGGACAAUAUAUGUUAUUACUUUCUUAUUGUACAAUCAUCACAUGUAACUCUAAUCUAUCUAUAUCUAUACUACUCAUUAAUAGAACUCUCUUUGUCAACCAAAGUUUUAGAAAAAUACUAUUAUACCCUUCCAGGUAUAACUGAAAGAAAAUAUAAAACAAAAAUAAAAAAUCAUGGGCAUUAAAGUAAUUUCACACAAAAAAAUUUUGGUAUUUUUUUCUUUCCCUUGCCCACAUGUUAUGAAAGCUCUCUUUAAUUUAAAUAAAAUAAAAAAUACUCCAACUUCUCUCUUUCAUAUAUUUUUUCUUUUUAAAUCUUUUAUAUUAUAUACACAUAUAGUGUGAGGGCUUCAUCUAAUAAUAAUAUUAUUAAGAAAACCCAGCUUGUUAACCAUUAUUGUAAGUGUAUAUUCCAGUGUUCUAAAACGCGCUCUAGGCAGUCGUCUAGGGGGCGCCUAGGCGCUAGACGUGCUCCGCCACGAUUAACCUGAAAUCGUUUAUUAAAUCGUCAAGGCAAUUAGGCGGUGUAAGGCAGACGCCUAGGCGGGAAGACGGACGCUAGGCGGGCGAGACGGAAGCUAGACGGUCUGGGAGGCCUGGGAAAAUACGAAUUCCUACCCAGAAGCAGUCAAACGUUGGGCAAUCUGGGCGCUCUGUGUCUUGCCGUCUUGUCUUCUCGAGUCUCGCCGUCUUGUCUAACAAAGUCCUAGUGUGACGAUGCUAUACGAGACGAGACAAGAGAGAGAGAGAGAGAGAGAGAGAGAGAGAGAGAGAGAGAGAGAAUGCAUCUGUAAUUGCAGAUAUGCUGACGGCGGUAAUGAUUUUAGAAGUGAGCAACUUUAGAAUAGAUUUUUCAGUGUGACCGGUAUAAAACAUGGUACAUCACUUGUCAUUAUACAAAUUGUGGGAUAUAUGUCGUAAAAAGUUAAUAACUUAAAAAAUAAAAUUUCCCACCAUUUCUAUCAAAACAUGUUGUGUACCACUUGUAUUCCCGUUACAAUGAAAAAUUUCUCUAACUUUAGUUAGGGUUUUGUUUUCUAAAGGUGAGUUGGUGACUGGGAUGGCCAUAUGGGAGAUUUAAUGCUUCAGGCUCCUACAUAUAGAAUACUUCGGGCAUUUGAACCACUAUAUCUUGAAUUUCGUAUUUUUGAACAAAAAAAUAUCUACUUAAAAAUCCUGAUCAUUCCAAAUUCCGGAGCACUAUUAAAAAUCAAAUAUAUAACUUCGUCUUCAUACUAGCGUAGAUUAGUAGUUGCCCCUUUUUUUUUCGGAUAAAACCUCAAAGUCAAUCUCACUCCAGCAUUACUAUCAUGAGAAAGUGACAAAGAGGUAACUUUAUUUUAUUUUUUAUUUUUUAUUUUUUUUAACAAAUGAUAUUAUUUACACUAAAGGGUGGGAGAGUGGGCUAAGUCUCACAAUGAGUAAAGCCUCAGAAUGGACUAGCAAUAAUAUGAUCUAAAUUCGCCUUUGUCAAGAAUUGAACCUAAGACCUCUAACUUAGAAGUGUAGAUCAAUACCACUAAACCGUAAUAGUAAUUGACAAAAGGUAACUUUAUUAAUAAAGUAGAAAAUUACAAACAGCCAAGGUAGGCAUAAAGUCUACCCUAACCAUGAUAGCAGCCAUAAGAAACAAACCCUCCGGCCAACAAAAGAUAACCUAUCUAAACGGUAAUGUAGAAGUUCUACAUAAUCACAAUGAUAAUACGGUAAUAUGAAAUCAAAGACUUCAAGGACUUCAUAGUUACCCUUUUCAUUACAACUAUUUGCAUCCUGCAAGCAUAUUCCAGAUGCAAAUUAUAAAAUAAAUAGGCACUAAUUAUUGUUGUCCUUGUGAAAACCCUUCUUUUGUAGUAUGAUUUCUGUCAUCCGAAACUUUUCUUAAUUUUAGGUAAACUUAUGUUGCUAUCCUAUUCGUAAUUUCUUGACGACAUGCAGCCCUUUCAAUGACCCAAUGUGAGUCAAUUGGCACUCUGUGGAUGGAGCCCUAUCAUGCAGAAAAAUUUGUGGCAGCAUAUCGUCUCUUUUCAUGUGAUGUGCAUGCAUAGAGUUUAUUCUCUGCUCUCUCAGAUUCUGAUCAUUCUUCCAAGGUCUAGCAUGCACUUGGGGUUCACUACUCAAUGAGUAUCUUAGUCACGAGACUCCUACCACCACAAGAAGAUUGUCAUCAUACAAUUUAUAUAUGUAUAGGCUUCCGGACAAAAAGGAUAUAUAAACAAAUUUUUAUAGGAUGACAAUCUUCCUGUUCAGUAGCAAUACAGUGCUUCCUAACCCUAGUUUUGGGGAGCGGCCUCUAGGUAGAAGCUCAUUGGUGUACCUCGGGGAUGAAAAUUUUGAAGUAGUAAACUACAGUCUAUAGACCAAUCAUUCGAAUUGCUCACGAACUCUUUCAAGAAAGAAAAAAAAAACAAAGGCCGUUGUGGGUUGUUAUCCGGUAAUCAUUAAAGCUCGUUUAAUUUGAUUUCAGCAUAAGAUGGUGGCGAUUGGUUGUGGUUAUGAUGGUGUUAUACCUUAUUAUGGUGAAAUCAAACUAAAAAGCAAAGGCCAUGGUAGGUUCAUGUGAGCUUGAUCUUGAGAAUGCCUAUGAAUUGUUAGCUAGAUUGCUUUACCCCCAGAAAGCCUAUGAACAGAAACAAUCAACAUAGCUUAAAUAAUCAUGUACCAUGAAUGAGAUGGUGAAUGUUUAUGAUACCUCUCAGAUGAUGAGAGGAAAAAAAAAAUGGAGGUGUAGAUAGCGUGUGCACUGUAGAGAAUUGUGGUUAAGUUAGGACUUAUGAGUUAUGAAAGGUAUAUUAGUACUUUUGUUCUGGUCUAAGUUAAUUAUAGUUAGCAAGCUCAUAUUGUUUUUAGAAACAUAUUAGCACAUAUGAAUAAAAAUAUUUGGUUACCAAUCAUAUUUAGUCAGCUCAUACUCAUGAGCAACGUGGUUAUAGUUUUGAGUAAUGUUAGGUAGAUCAAAUUUUUAGACCACAUUUGUAAAUCAUGUGGUGUGUCACCGAUGGGAAAUAAGCACGUUAAUCAAUAAUUAAGUAGUAAUUCAAUCAUCAACAACCAUGUCGUAUAAUUUUCAAUAUAUAGUUUAAUAAAUGGUAUCCCUAGCAUUUUCUUUUUUAAAUCUUGCCAAAUUGAUCUAAGUUUCUCAUGAUGUCUUUAAUAAGAUCCCAAUUUGGAGCCAAAGGAAGUUGUUGACCCUAACAACUACCAUGCCUAUGUGGCGCGCAGGCUGAGCAACUAAUAAGCUAACUACGUUCUUCUGGUGAAUGUGGGUCUGCUAACUCUAACCGAGCUCAGUUGGUGAUUUGAACGAAUGUGGUGGUGGUGUCGAACAAGCUUCUGACUUCUGUAUCCGAGCGAUCACGACCGAGGAAGGAACACUUCUCAGCUUCUGGGUUCUAGAGUCUGAAGACAAGUUGUUAGUCACUGUGAAGUUCAGGAUCUUCAGCACUAGGUUCAGAUGCCUCAACUAUAUUUGUGAAAAUAUAGGUGGGCUGAAUUGGUAUCAAAUUGUAAGGACACAAAUACUUGAAAGAAAUAAGUGUCUUGAUUGUAAAUGUUGUUCGAUUGUUAGAAUGCCGAACUCUGAAUGUAACUGGGAACAACCAAUCAUAGAUAGGCUCAACUUUCAAUGUGCCAAACAUUAUGUAACCUGGCCGAGAGGGUUAAUGAGUUGACCUCUUUCAGUAAGAAAAACGAAUGCUUCUUACUAAUAGAGACUUGGAUAGAUAACCAGUCAAACUCGAAGCAGUACUAUUACUCCAAACUAAAGAUGUUCCUUGGUCACGUGAUUCUACGGUUCCAAUGUUGUUAGUCCAAACUGAAGAUGUCGCCAGUUAUCAACACAAUGCCGUUAAUCCAAACUAAACGUAUGUUGACGAAGUUAGGGAAGUUAGUGGUUUUUCAGUAUGAGAGAUUCGUGUAAAGCGAUAUUUGUGUGGGGCGUUUGUGUGUGUUGAGUUGAGCGUCCUCUAAAUGUUGCAGAACCACUUCAAUUUGUAGGGUGAAUCCAUGCUAAUCACUCAUGUUAAAGUAAAGUCCUAUAUGGACUGUAACUCCUCGACAUCUCUUGAUCCAAUCUCCUAUCAAAUAAGCCUAAUUUGCGCACAGCCUUCAACCACUUCUAUUAAAACUAAGAUUUUGAACCCAAUCCUCUUUCAACAGUUGAUUCAUUGCUAAUCUGAUCAGCCAUGAACCUUGAUUCUUGAAAUAUUAUGAAUCUUAUUAAAAAUCAUCAUGAUCCUUAAAAAUUUUACUUACAUUAGGACUUGGUCGAAUCACUCUUCAACUUGACCCUUAAGAGUCCUUCUCUUGUUAGGACUCGGCCGAAUCCAUCGUGGGCUGGAUAUCUGAAUGCCACAUGGCAUGAAGGGAUGUCACUGGGCCAAGGAUUAAACACUAUACGAAUUAUCCACCUUCGGCCUAAACCCAUUAGUUCAUGCCCAAACACAAGUUUAAUCAUUAAACCACAUUAUGUUCAUCAUAAUCCACCAAGAUAGACGAAAAUGUAGUCAUUAAUAGGCUAUAGCCAAAAUAAUUGUAAGUUCUGACUUGUAAGCAGCAUCCAACAAUACUAGUAUGAUACGUUAAGUUCAUAUGGUCCAAAUAUGUGUAGGGUCGUAGCACACUUUGUUAGAUUAGAUUUAUAUUAGUCACCGACGAAAUUUGAACUCACGCCUUCAUAUAAAGAUUCAACACAUUUCCACAACUGUGAUAAAUGACCACUUGCUUGUAUAUUUGUUGACUCUAUUAAUUAAGUAGGCAUGGUACCUGACCUGUCAUCUAUUUAAGUUAAUUUAUUUGCGUGAUGCGAAAGAAAGAGAAGGGAUGAGUGGCAUAUAUUAGACAUUAAAAAAAAUUUCUAAUUUCAAAGACUGAUGGUUUUGGACUGAUAGUUGGCAUGGCUUGUCAACCAAGAUAUUAAUGUUGUGGUGCUCUUUCGAAGAAAGAGAGAAAGUCAAACUAAACCUUUCUUGUUUUAAAAAAGGAUAAAUUAUAUAAAACUACAUCAACUAUGGGAUCAUUAACAGUUUUAUACCUCGUCUUUAAAAAGUUUCAAUGUCAUACCUUAUCUUCGAAUUUGUUGCAAUUUCAUACCUUUCGUUAAUUGUCUGUCAAUUCUUCUGUUAAAUGCUGACGUGUCAUAAGACGAGAUCCACUUUCUAUUAAAAAAAAUUAAAUUAAUUAAAUUUUAAAAUUUUAAAAAUAAAAUAAAAUAAAAAAAAAAACCCAAACCCAUCCCCCCUUGCCAUCUUCCCCAUCCGUCCCCCCCUUCCAAACCCAGAACCCCACCCCCACCUCCCCCACAACCCCCCCUUUCUCCCUCCCGAGCCUCCCAAUCACCUCAUUCUCCUCCAUUCUCUUCACCUUCCCUUCCCAUUCAAAACUUAAAAAAUAAAUAAAUAAAAUCAGUAACAAAUCUGAACCCAGAUUGUCCAGAUCGUCACACCCCACCCAACCCUUCCUUCCCGUCGAAGUCGAACCACCUCAACUGGUUGCUUCUUUCCUUUUUUUUUUUUUUUUUUUUUUAAGUUUUGAAUGGGAGGGGAGGUGAAGAGAGUGGAGGAGAGGGAGGUGGUUGGGAAGAGAGGGAGGGAGAAAGGGGGGUUGUGGGGGAGGUGGGGGUGGGGUUAUGGGUUUGGAAGGGGGGACGGAUGGGGAAGAUGGGAAGGGGGGAUGGGUUUCGCAGGGUGGUGGGGGGGGGAGCGAUGGGAUAUGGGUUUUGGUUUUGUUUUUUAUAUUUAGUUAAUAUUUUAUGCAUUUUAAAAAUAUUUUAAUAGAAAGUGGGCCUCGCCUCAUGACACGUCAGCAUUUAACAGAAAAAUUGACAGACAACUGACGGAAGAUAUGACAUUGCAACAAAUUCGAAGAUAAGGUAUGUCAUUAAAACUUUUAAAAAUACGAGGUAUGAAACUGUUAAUAACCCAAUAGUUGAGGUAGUUUUAUGUAAUUUACCCUUUAAAAAACUAAACCUUUCUUUGCUUGUCUUUUUACUUAUCUUCAUGCGAUUAAAACUAAAUGAUCCAUUUGUCUCAAUGUAUGUUUGAAUAAAAAGAGAUGAUUGCUAAUAUUAUAUAUUGUCUUCGUUAAAAGUACAAAAUGUAUUAGUCACAAAAAUUAUUCUUCUCUUUUGAUUUGAUAGGAUUGAAAGGAAUGAGAACCGAUCAUGAAUAAUUGAUUUCCUUCAACUUGGACAUGAAUUGAAGGUUAAUAUCCUUUAUUGAUUCAACGGUAAAUAUUGUUGUUUUGAUCUAAUGAUAUUUUACAUUAAAAAAGUAGAAGUAUUUAGGCUAUAUGCCAUGACAAUAGGUAUUAAACUAUUUUCUACAGAAACCAAAUUUAAAAACAUUUCGCUUAUAAAUAAUAUUACUAAAAAUAAUAAAAGAAUAAACUACCGAUUUUUCCCUUGAACUUUGCUUACAUUUCGAUUUCCCCCUAAAUUUUUCAAUUAGCCAAUUAAGGACUUAAACUAAUUUUUUUGGGUGAUUUCCCCCUAGUGUAUGACACACCCCGUCCCGAAGGAGGGCAUGCUGGCCGUCACAUGAGAGUGACGUAACCAUUUACACAGUUCGGAAGCUUUAAAAAUUACAAUUACUAAGAUGAAACACCCAAGGGUGAGUCCUACUUUUGUGAAUUCUGUCAGAACACCGUUGGAUUCCUCGUGGCUACCAAAGCUCUGCUAUCUAGAACCUGGAAGGGCGCAAAACAAAAUUAAGUGGGUCAGUAAAACAAAGUUUUUUUAAAACAUUUCUAACCCCUCGCCGUAAAACCUGUAUACUUUCCCAUAAAAUAACAUAAUAGCAUAAUAUUUGUUCAAAUCUCUCAAAACAUUAAUCUUUACCAAAAUCCAGAGAGUAUGCCAUGCAAUAAUGUCAAUGACAGAAUAUGGGUGCAUCAAUAUAACAGGUGACAUAAUGAAUCAAUCGGAUACCCUGCAGUUGGUCCUGUACGGUUAAUUCUAUAGCUCAAUAUCCAAUCCAGCCGGAGUCACCACGGUGACCUGUACGGCACUACUCUGCACAUAAGUCGGAACUACCUAAAGUAGUCUGUACGACAAGAAUGGUGUAAUAAUACGCUCUAGUGCUUCUCUCAUCAAUCAUCUGUGCACAUAAUCUAAGGUCACCUACUAGUCGGAACCACUUCUAGUAGUCUGUACGACUAGCAUGUCGGAACCCUCUAUCGGUCUGUAUGACAUGCACCUACUUGGAUCCAAGGUGAGCGUGCGGUGCGGUGAAUAAUAUAAGCACUAACACCAGGGGUGCAGGUUAUGAGCUUUCAACACAAUUCACAUCAUCAAUGAUUCACAUGAAUAACAUAAAACUCACCUGAUACUUACCUGUGCGUCCACAGCACCAAUUCACACACACACACACACACACACACACACACACACACACAUAUAUAUAUAUAUAUAUAUAUAUAUAUAUAUAUGCAUCAAUUAUUAAUUCAUAUAUCUCAUAAUAUGCAUACAUGGCAUUUUAAAACAUACUUUCAUUUAAAUUCAAUUUCCGAGAAAAAUAUCAAUAGUAUAUAGGUAUAAAGAGAAAUACUGCCCACUCACCUGGAGUUCGCCCAACAACUCCCUAGCACAACACAUCAAGGCAUCAUGACGAUCGGCGCCUAGAACAAUAAUCAAAUCCAACCUCAGAAAUCAUAUCGAUAGAAUAUAUAACUUAUAUAAAACACGUCACUACGUAAUUCGAUUCGGAAGAUCUGCAACUCAGAUUUCCAAUCCAUAACUUCCAGAGGUCCACAAUAUACCUCUAGGACAACAUCCUAAAAUUUCAUUACCAUCCAACGGUCGGAUCUCUGUCAAUUUCCAAAACCAAGUGACGGUUAACAUUCUAUUUUAUGAACUUACAACUCCAAUUUCGAAAGAUCCGUAAAUCGGAUUCCAGAUCCGUAAGUUCCUAUAAUCCUCAAAUAUUACGUAUUACAAUGUAUCAAAGUUUGGUGACAAUCCAACGGUCGGAUCGUCAAUUCACAUUUUCACCUAACCACGAAUCGUAACAAACUUAGGUUCAAUUACUCAAUUCACGUCUAUCAAUUAUCAAAACUGAACCUAGAACCUUAAACACAUGCUAAGAAUGACAUUGGCGGGCCAUUGGCCACGCGCCGCCGCCCCAGCUCGCCGGAAGAUCCAACUAUUUCCAAAAAUUCUCAAAAAAUACAUAAUUGAAGAUCUCAAUGAGUAGAGUAAACUUUAUACCUGAGGCCAAGGCCAAUUUGGCCUGGAAACACUUCAAUUUCACCAAAAUCCCUGUGGAACCCUAGUUUUGUGUGUGAUUCGAUUCGGCCUUCAAACUUGCUCUAACACCUCCACCACUACAUGGGCUUUGUUCCUGGGUUCUAAGGGAGUAUAAUGGUGGUGGUAAUUGGAAGGAAUCAUUUCUAAAUUCACUGGAGAAAAGAAAAACCCGUCAGAACCACCGUGGGUAUACGGCUUCAAUUCGAAUAAAUUUGACAAGAAAUUUGAUAAUCUACCACCACAGGGAUGUUGGGCUCGUUGAGAACGUUCCAUAGACACCAGAAUCACCUCCAACGGACCUCAGACGAAGGAGAUAAGACCGGGUCAAGAAUGAUUGUGACAUCCCACAUCGCCUAGGGGAGUGAUCCUUAAAUGUAUAUUCUUAUCCCUACCUAGCACGAGGCCUUUUGGGAGCUCACUGGCUUCGGGUUCCGUAGGAACUCCGAAGAUAAGUGAGAAGGAUGCCAGAGCACUCCUAGGAUGGGUGACCCACUGGGAAGUUGCUCAUGAGUUCCCAGAAACAAAACCGUGAAGGCGUGGUCAGGGCCCAAAGUGGACAAUAUCGUGCUAUGAUGAUGGAGCGGGCCCGGGAAGUGAUCCACCCUGAGCCGGGAUAUGACAAUUCGUAUCAGAGCCUAACGCUGGCCGUGGUGUGCCGACGAAGACGUCGGGCCCCUGAAGGGGGUGGAUUAUGACAUCCCACAUCGCCUAGGGGAGUGAUCCUUAAAUGUAUAUUCUUAUCCCUACCUAGCACGAGGCCUUUUGGGAGCUCACUAGCUUCGGGUUCCGUAGGAACUCCGAAGUUAAGCGAGAAGGAUGCCAGAGCACUCCCAGGAUGGGUGACCCACUGGGAAGUUGCUCGUGAGUUCCCAGAAACAAAACCGUGAGGGUGUGGUCGGGGCCCAAAGCAGACAAUAUCGUGCUAUGGUGGUGGAGCGGGCCCGGGAAGUGAUCCACCCCGGGCCAGGAUGUGACAGUGUAAGUUUUUCAUUCAUUCUAUCCAAAUUUCUGUUAAAUGGAAGCAUGUACACAACAUAUAAGGGUAGUUCGGUCGAUUCGUUCUUUAAAAUAAUUGAAAACUCUAUAUUUCUAAAAUGUCGACCAAUGCAAAUCUGUGUAAUUCUAUAACUUUUGUGUCUGAAUGUCUAGCAAAGUGAUGCUUUUUGUACUCAAAGGAGAGUCACGUGAUGUGCACGUGAUAAGAAUUAACAUUAAUUUGGUUGCAAUUUAUAGACAACUAACGGUAAGGGAAAAUCGACCAAAAAAAUUAGUUUAAAUCCUUGAUUUUUCAAAUAAAAAGUUUAAAAAAGAAAUCGAAAGCCAAGUGAAAAUUGACGAGAAAAAUUAGCAAUUUACUCAUAAUAAAAUGCAAAACUUAAAAGUUAAAAGGUAUUACCACUUCGUGCAAAAAGGACAUACCACUUCAAAAGCAUCGGAAUUUAAAAAAGCAUCAAAAUCCAGCAUGCGACAUGGAAAUUGGAAUCAGGGUGUCCCACUUGACAUGCUUAAGUCUUGAACCAGUACUUUAGUCAAAACAUGUGUUUGAAAUUAAGUGAAGUUUUUGUGAAUUUUUUUUUUAAACAAAUGAUAUUAUAUACACAAAAUAAAUGGAGGUGGGCUUAGCCUUACAAUGGGUUAACAAUAAAGUGGUUCAAAUUCGCCUUUAGCGAGAAUCGAAUCUAAGACCUUUAACUUACAAGUGAAGAAGAAUAUCACUAUGUCGUAGUACUAAGUGGUAAUUUUUUGUGAAUUUGAAAGUAAACAAGCCGCAAAAGUCUAUGACCUAGUUUGGCAAAUAAAAUAAGUAAUGAACUGAGUUAAGGGUGAUUAGAUGAGAGAUAAUCCCACCAUAAUCUCAAACCACUUUGAACUUGCCGCUCCAAACCCAAGAUUUGACGCUUAAGACACAUCAUAGUGCAAAGGCAGUGAUGUUAAUUGAAUGUUGAGAAAUACUACCAAGACUUUCUCAAAGUAUGACUCUUUAUGAAUUUUUUGUGACAUGCCCGACCCUAAUAUUCACCAAACACUAGGGUAAGCACAUGAUGGCCGACAUUUGAAGGUGACGAAGCCAUAUUAGGAUGCAUGAGAAAUAAUAAAUAUAGACAAUACUUAUAAAUUUAAAUGCAAUGAUUAUGCAAUUAUGGAACGUGUUCAAAACAUGCAACUAAUCAUAAACACUAAAAAGGAAUAAUAUAAAAUUGAAUGAACAAAAGGAUGGAUCCUACACCGAGAUGACUCGAAGAUGCCGAUGUGGGAGUGCCUUGACGCCGGGAUUGUACGCCUCGAAUCUAAGUCCUGAGGGGGCACAAAACAAAACAUGAAUGGACCAAAUUGAUAUAUAAAUAGUUCUAACAUAAGUAUUUCUCAACGUACUAAUCCCCAAAAUUUAUGAAAACUCAAUAAUAUAAUACGUAAUAAGUUUUCCGAAAACCCUAGCAUGCCAUAAAGCCUUUCAUAAAACAUAUAUCAUAUAUAGUGUGUUUAGUAGAGGUGUAUAUAUAAGGCAUAUAGAACACUUCUUCAUUCAUUCGAAGGUUCUACAUCAUGCGCCUGUAAGCAGUAUCAUUCGCCUGUAGGCACUACAUCUCCCGAUCAAAGCCAAUAUAAGUAUCUUCUGCCUGUAGGCACUACAUCUCAUGGCCAAAGCCAAUAUAAGUAUCUUCCGCCCGUAGGCACCAACCAAACGCCAGGCCGUAGCCAAAACAAAAUAUCUCCCAACCAAAGUGAAAUUACAAAAUUGCCCUUCUAUUUCGUAAAAUCCGGAACGGGUCGUUAUAAUCUACCCCCGUUAAGAAAAUUUUGUCCCGAAAUUUGAAAUAACGUACUAUACAUAAAUACUCGAAGAUAGGAAAGAAAAUAUGUAUAAAGAAGAAAUCAAGUCAGAGUGGUUACAUCAAAGAGAAUAUGCCACACCGUCGUGAGCGGUUUGCCAAAUCCUCUUUCAUGCCUCCAAGCUCUUACUUUCUUCCCCCAUCAGUAUAAUAGUAAAAACAUACUUUAUAAGGAUAUAAAUCGAAAAUUGUAUAGUAAUGUAUGGUAAAAAAUAUGUACGUAGUAAGAUAGCGUCAAAAUAAAUAAGUACUAACAUAGAGGUCGAAAACUAGUACUGAACUUAAAACUAAAAAUGGAAAAGACUUAACCGAAAGUUUGUAGCGUCAAAAAGACAAAAAAUAUAACUAAUAUAAGGUAAAACAAAAUACUCGUACUGAAAAUCAAAACCGAAAAUGGAAGUGGGUCUCGCCCAAGUAGUCAAAACGUCACGUACUCCGAGAACAGAUGUGUCUUUGGGUCGAGCCCCAACAAUAACUAAAAAGUAACAACUAUCAUAGAUGGGUCUACUUGUCCACUUACUUAACGAACCCAACAAAUAUGUCAUCGAUAUUAUAGCCAGCCGCCCGCGAUAUCAACAACACAUUCUUGUCUCGAUAAGCAAGUAGUAAUUUCCUAAGGGUGCAAACAUACCAAUUUGUCCAAUCCCAAGUCAACAACAACACAAGUACACAGUUUCUCAAAUCAUAAAAUCAAACAUCCGAAAACCAAUUCGUAGAACUCCACAGUCGAACCAAUGUUGCUAUUAGAAUCUAUCAUAUUAAGUAUCAAAUAGUGUUAUACUCAAACUGAAAAUAAAACUAUCGUCAUAACUACUCCAAAAGAGAUCAGCGCAAAAUCUAAUCAUUCAGAAAGCACAAAUGAAAAGAAUGCAACACAUCUUUCAAUAUCUAGAUAUUUCGUUCAAGAUUGUCCAACAACCUGCAAAUAAAAAUGCGAUACAAAACAAACAACUUAAUACUCAAGGCCUUCACGAAACUUCACAAAACUUAGAAGUGAAACGCGCAUCACAAACAACAAGGUCCUGGAGUGAAGUAAUCGAAAGAUGCGUAGAGGUGAACAAAUAUCAUAAACAUGUCUUUCGUGACUAACCGCGAUCAUCGCUCUCCUGGCCGAGAAGUACAAGGUUCGAAACCUAUAUUAGAAAAGCAAUCACUUGGACUACUUCCUUCGAAUAACGACUGCCGCUCUAAACCAUUCACAAAAACUGGCUCGGAAUUACCAGACUCAUAACCCAAGAUGGAAUUUAAUCUCAGUAGAUGUAUAUAAAAGGUGUGUUAGGGUUGGGUGGAAGAUACCCAUAAAAUAUUUGGGCAAAUGAACUUAUAUAUAUAUAUAUAUAUAUAUAUAUAUCGUUAGGAAAGAACUACUAGAGUACGAUAUGAUGCCAAUGAAAUAUAGCAAGAUAAUAUGAGGUGACUAUUCAUUCCUGCGUGAAGAUAGUGAUCGGUGAUGCAAUCUGCUGACCACCCAUACUAAAAGGCGGCUCAAAGCUCAUGGCCACAUGAAACUCUUCUUGAUAAGUCUGGUAGGCUUACAAGAAGGUUAUGCUCCAAAUAUUCCUGCUAGCAUCGACAUGAAAUUGGGCGCACGCACCCGUCGAGUCGGUCUAUCGUGAGUUCCUCACUGAUUGAGCAAGAAAACACAUCAAGAAGGCUAAAAGAACACACUAAGAUUUGAGGGUCAAAAUAAGUCAAUUAAAUAUAGAGUACAAUAUAUCUGGAUUUGAAUAUACAACUCUGAUGCUUGAGUUCAUACAAGUACCUAGCUUGAUUGGGUAGUAACAACUUGAAAUGGUCGAACCUGAAAAUUAGCUAAGUUGGUUCCUGAUUAUCCAUAAUCAUAUCGCAGAAUAUCCAAGAGUUCCAUACAAGGGGGAAAUAUAAAUGAUUGAAGAAUAUUCGAGUAUCGGUGUGUCUUUCUAUUGAGGUGUUCAGCAACUACGCUUGCACAAUCGGGGUGGUACACGAUGGUGCAGUUGUAGACAUUUAUAUACUCUAUCAAUCACCGUCGCCAGAGACUUAGCUCAUUUCGACUGAGAAUCUAACUAAGAAGUUUUACAAGGUUGAUAAAGAUCUUACGUGUUUCACCACGGUGAGGGUGUUCUUAGAUUUUCAAGUUAGGACUAUAACUGUAGGCUCCAGGUCGGAAAUAGGACGGUUUAAAUCAGGUGGUCCCAACCGUCGAAAAGCAAAAGCAUCGCCCAAUAUGCUACCUCAGUGCACAAUGACACCUUCAGUAAAACAUCAUAGACAGAUUCGAAAUUUUUGUUGGUGUCAUCGAGAAGUAUAUGAACAAUGGCAAGGUGAGACAGCAUCUCGAACAAAACUGAUUUAUUCCCUAGCCGAAGUUGAGGGUUUGGGUUAUGGUAGAAAAUUGUUGGCAACUGUCGAUAGAAAUCGACAAUACCAAUGAUAUUUCGUAAUUCACGACACUCGAGAAGAUUCUUGAUUUCCAAUUGUCACAACCUUGGAUUUGGUAAGAGUAACUUCUGUUACCAAAGAAACUCCCAAGAGAAGUAUCUACUCUAGGCAAAAACAAUGUUCGAAGAAUUUGACGUACAACUGACAAUUGAUAUUUAGUGAACCUGACGUCAUGGUUGGAGUAAGCAAGAAGGUUUUCGAUAGAACAAUCACAAAGAAUUGUUCUAACAAUCCACACAAUUUCCUCAGCAUGAGCGAGUCUAAGGACAUUGAUUCAAUCCCACCAAACUAACAAUUACUAAUCUUCUCAACGUCUAAUGCUUACUCGCCUUCUCCAACACGCACUUCGAAUGUUUCGAACAAUUUCCAUAAAGAUACAACUCUGCCCGCCAUUCCUAGGGAACGCAUGUCACAAAAUGACAUCACCGAUUUAGGUUUUCUAAAUUCAAACCACUAGAUUUUUCCGUUUCACCACAUUCCUGUGUAGAUACCACUAUGCCUGCAAUUCCUAAGGAACGCAUGUUACAGAGUGGCAUUGCCACUUCGGGUCUACAGCUGGUCUUAACCAGACUUCCUCUUACUGAUAUUUCUAGUUCAUGUCACUUUAAUGUAAAAACCAACUCUGCCGGCAAUUCUUAAGGAACGUAUGUUGCAGAGUAUCGGUCGAAUGUUGAAAGUCGUCCAACAAUCCAUUUCGUCACCGAUGAGGCAUAAUCCUAACACGAAAUUCUUAUUCUUCAAUAGGAUAUGACUAUUCAUGCAGAAUAAGGGUUGCACAACCGUGCCGAAUGACAACAAAUUCAGAAGUCGUGACAUCUAAAUGAUGUCAUGACCAACACACCACUAUAGUAACAGAAGAUCCUAAGUAUGCUCUGAACAAACCACGCUCUGAUACCAAAUUGACACGUCCGACCCGGAUAUUCACCAAACACCAGGGUAGGCACGUGUUGGCCGACACUCGAAGGUGACGAAGCCAUAUUAGGAUGCAUGAGAAAUAAUAAAUAUAAACAAUACUUAUAAAUUUAAAUACAAUGAUUAUGCAAUUAUGGAACGUGUUCAGAGCAUACAACUAAUCCUAAACAUUAAAAAUGAAUAAUAUAAAAUUGAAUGAACAAAAGGAUGGGUCCUACACCGAAAGGACUCGAAAAUGUCGAUGCAGAAGUGCUUUAACGCCGAGAUUAUAUGCCUCGAAUCUAAGUUUUGAGGGGGUACAAAACAAAACAUGAGUGGACCAACUUGAUAUAUAAAUAUUACUAACAUAAUUAUUUCUCAACGUACUAACUCACAAAGUUUAUGAAAACUCAAAAGUAUAAUAUGUAAUAGGUUUUUCGAAAACGUUAGCAUGCCAUAAAACCUUUCAUAAAACAUAUAUCACAUAUAGUGUGUUUAGUAGAGGUGCAUACAUAAGGCAUAUACAUAUAUAUAAUAUUUUCAUUUGCCCGAAGGCACAUAGAACACUUUUUCAUUCAUCUGAAGGUUCUACUUUACGCGCCCAUAGGUAGAUCAUUCGCCCGUAGGCACUAAAUCUCCCAGCCAAAGCCAAUAUAAGUAUUUUCCACCUGUAGGAACUACAUUUCCAAGCCGAAGCCAAUAUAAGUAUCUUCCACCCGUAGGCACCAACCAAAUGCUUGGCCGUAGCCAAUAUGAAUAUCUCCCGCCCAUAGGCACCAACCAAGCACCCGACCAUAGCCAAUAUGAAUAUAUUCCGGCCGAAGCCAUCUACAAACGCCCGACCGAAGCCAAUAUAAGUAUCUUCCGCCCUUAGGCACUACAACCCCCAGCUGAAGCCAAUAUAAGUAUCUGACGCUCGUAGGUUCCUACAGCACCCACCCAAAGACAUAUAUAAAUAUCAUUCGCCCGUAGGCAGUAUCGCAUGAUUUCUAAUAUAUAUAUAUAUAUAUAUAUAUAUAUAUAUAUAUAUCCUAAUUGGAGUUCGGUAGCUAUAACGUCAUAUCGUAAAAACUAUUCGUAGUAUAUAGUCAUCAAUCAUUUAUACUACGAAGAACGUCAAAAUCAAUAAAGGAUGGUAUUCCAAAAUAUUCUCAAUAAAGCAUGAUAUCUCACAAAGUGUAAAUUUAAUUUACUCAUAAACAUUUCAUAAAAUGUAACCAUUAAACCAUGUUUUUCAUGUAUGCAUUUCUAAUAGUAAAAUAUGCAUUUUAGAAGGGGUCUACUCACCUUACACCGUUGGCAAAGAGCUGUGCAAAUAAGGGUGGAUGGAAACGCCACAAAUAACUGCACCUAAGCACAUAAAUGGUCCAAUUAAUAAAACUUUACUCAAAUGAUUUAAUUUUGGGAAAUGGACAUCAUAAACGGAUUUAGGAUGUCAAAAUUAGCCUAGGAGGGGUCCCGGUCAAAACCCGAAAAAAGUCAACCCAAAGUCAACGUUGACCGGUCAAAGGUCAACAGCGAAAGUCAAUGGUUAGGUCAAAGUCAACGGGUCUAGGUCUUGGGUUUGGGCUUGGUGGGUUUGGGCUUGGGCAAUUAGGCGGGGUAAUUGGGUCACAAUUAUAGGCUUGGGCUUGGUAGCCUGGCCCAAAGGGUCUGGGUUGGGUCGGCUACAAGAUUGGAUCUUGGAUCUAGGUUUCAGGGUAAUCGGGUCGGGUCGACCCGGUUUCAUGCCAAGGUUUGGUUGAUUUCUGGGCACAACUUCAAACAUUCAUAACUUCUUCGAUACUAAACCAAAUCGAGUGACUCAAAAACCUAAGUUGUAGAACUCAACGAGAUGAAGAGAAUGGUACCUUGCACGAUGGCUAACUUGCCGUGGAUUGGCCAGAAAACACCUCGAAAGUUGCGGUGCUCACCGGAAACUGGGUAAACUUUAAAAGGUGUAAUAUUCACACACCCCAUUUUACUUUUCACACACCCUUUUAAUUUUCGGCUGUUGGAUCAAAUGAAUUGAAGAAAAUCAAAGGAUAGAAAUUAACAAGGGGUGUGUAAGAAGUAAAAGGAGGUGUGUGGAUAGCACACCCCAACUUUAAACGCUCAUAACUUUUUCAAUACUCAACGUAAUCAAGUGAUUCAAAAAUGAAAAUCAUACUUCUCAACGAGAUGAAGAGAAUGGUACCUUUUUCAAUGGCUAACUUGUCGUGGUUUGGUCGAAAAAUGGCCUGAAAGGUUGCGGCCCAACUUGGUUUCAAUCCCGACGAUUCGGAAGGACGUUCGAGGUGAGUUUGGGUGUUCUAGGCUCGUGAGGAUGAGACCAAGCUCAUGGUGCUCUUGGUUUAGGCGGUGGUGGGAGUGUUGUCAUUGUUGUUGUUUGUUAUGCCCUUGUGGAUUGAUGGUUUUGAGACAGAAAUGGGAGGGCCGAGAGUGAGUGAGAAAGUUAGAGAGAAAUGAGAGUCUCACGGAAAAAUGGAAGAAAGAGAGAAGAAGAGGGAGACCAAAUAAAAGGAGUGGGCCCUUUAAGGAACACUAAAUUAGACCAAAAUCAAACAUAACAAAAUAUCUCCCAACCAAAGUGAAAUUACAAAAUUUCCCUUCCGUUUCAUAAAAUCUAGGACUGGUCGUUACAUUCUGUCAUGGUUUGACAUCAAUUUCCAUGCCAACAUUAUAAAACAUUACGCCAAAAACAUAAGGUGUCCAAGAAUCCAUGUAAAAUCCCACUUUUGAGAGUCUCUUUAGCAUUUCUCUUCAAAGUUUUGACAAAAAUAACCAACUUGCAAAUUACAAAUUUAGUAAACAACUUGCCAAUAACAAUUUAAUCAACAAAAGGAACAAAUAUAAAUAUACAUAAUUUUUUUUGGGUAAAUUACACAAAACUACCUCAAUUAUGAGUCGAAAGACAAUCUCAUACCUCAUAUUUUAAAAAUUGCAAUGUCAUACCCAAGGAAGAAAAUAUCAGUAAUAUCGGAAAUAUCGAUAGUUCGAAAACAUGGAAAUAUCGAUGGAAAUAUCGGUAAAAUAUCGAUAUCGAUAAAAAUUACAUGGAAACCACGGAAAUUGUAAGAAAAACUUGGAAUUUUUUAUUGAAACUUUGUAGGAUGUUUAUUUAGUCAAUUAUCUAUUAGUUUAUCACAAAAAAUUGGAAAGAAAUGCAUUGCAUAACGGAUUUAACAUUAUCAAGUUGAUUAUAUAGCGAGCUGACAAACAUUGUGAGUGUAGAAAAUAUGUAGUAAUUAAUGAAAGAAGUCUAAACACACCAUAAUCAUUUAUAUAUAAUGAAUUAGUACAAUAUUUUACACUUUAGUACCACAUAGAGUUUCUAUGAGUUUCAAAUUUUUCACUAUCUUCAUCAUCUCUACGUGUAGAAUGAGUGUAUUGUGAAGAGUAGUUAUCAAAUGAUAAAUCCCCAAAAUAGUUUUGCAUGUAAUUGUUAACAUGCCACCCAUAUGGAUCCGAGAUUGGUUGAGGUUGUCCAUAAGAAAAAUCAUUUGAAGAUUGAGUCUGGGAUUGUUUCCAUGAGUCGCUCGAUUCCAUCCCAACAGGAAUGGGAUAUGAAGGGUAGGGAAAUGGUUGGUUAUAAGUAUAACCAUAGUUACUACUUCCCAAUCCAACAGAGUCUGAAGUUCUAGAUAACGAGUCAUCUUCUUGACUUGACAAAAUUCCCUUGCCUCUUUCUCUGCGAGUAUAGUCUUUCCCUAUGGCACCAAUUCCUGGUCCUGCCCGCUUACUGCCAUGGUCAUCAUCCUGUGUUGCAUGCGUGAAGUUUGCCUCACCAGUGAAGGGGCUCAUAUAUCCAGGAGGUGGUGGUCCAUAAUAGUUUCCAUAUCCAUCACCACUACCUCCAGCUCCACUAUGUCCUUCAUCAUUCCCACCUCCAGUGGUAGGUGAGUCUCCUGAUCUUGUACUAGAGCUAUCAUUAGUAUCAGCAUGAUGUUGUGGUUGUGUAGGAUUGGAAGAAGGUGGAAUUCCAGUGUUUUUUGGUCUUGGGCGCAAAAGUUUUUCCAAAGAGUCAGCGCUGUUAGAUCCCACCUCCUCCUCUAAUACUUUUUCUACAUUUAUCCAUUCAUUACGUGCUUCUUCAGCAACUCUGGGAGCUGGGUUGCCUUCAUCAUCAUCUAGAUGAAGAGGUCUAAUCCAUUGAAAAAGUUGGUUACCUUUAGUAUCAUCAUCUUCACCAACAAUAUCAAACACAUCUAGUGGGUCCCCACGGUCGACAUGAUCUAUUUCUGCUUCCUUAUCUCGAAUUUGAAGCUUCAUGUUGUAGUAGCAAUAAACUAAUUUUUCCAAGCUACUAUGAGCCAACUUAUUUCUUUGCUUUGUGUGUAUGAGUGCAAAUGUGCUCCAAUUUCUUUCACAAGCAGAUGAGGAAGCUGUUUGUGAUAAUACUUUGAUUGCUAACUUUCUCACAGUUGGUGCAUCGGUCCCAUACAUGAUCCACCAUUCAGCUACAAUGAAAAACAAUGUUGAUAAGCCUAAUAACUCCAACAAAUUCUAUUAUAAACUUAUAGUGAAAUAUGUUUAUACUCACUAGGAGACAUAUUUGUUCGAGCAGCAACUGAUGUUGGUUCUCCAAAAGUUCUUCUUGCAUCUUUAAACCAUGUUAGCUGAAUUCAAUAAAUCGUGUUAGUUUAAUCCAACAAAGUAAUUAUUAUAUUUUAAGUAAUUGUCUACCUCAUUUCCAAAUUGGCCAACUGCUGGUGAUGCAGGGUCUAAUUUAGAGUAUACAUUAUGUACAGCACGUAUAAGGUUACCAUCAUCUCCAACACCGGGUCUGUAUUGGUAUCGGGGAUUCAAAUAAUAUGCUGUUCAAAUAAACACGUACUCUAAUAAGAGAAAUAAUACUUAUGCAACUAAAGAAACGAAUUGCAAAAUUAUGACAUAAUUUAUACAUGCUGCAUGCAAAUCGUGGUAUAAUGUUUUAUACCAUCAGUCUUCAAUUAUCUUUAUGACCCACCUUGCACCAUGUUUUCUUUCCAAUUCAUCCUUCACUACACGCAUCAACUCAUAUACUGCCCCCAUAGUAGGAUACACCUCUGUGUCAACGAACCGUAAAACUUUGUAAAGAGGUUCAAACACUUGGCACACAUGUUCUGAUUGAGUCCAAAAAGCAUGAUCAAACACUAUACUUUCCACCAUACGACCUGUAUUUGAGCGGCUCAAAUUGUGGUUGGCCCAAUCGUCACUAUGAAUAGUUGCUUCAACCCUGCUUUCUUCUUGAGUAUGCUGUCUAAUGCAAUGUAGUUGGUGGCGAAUCGAGCGAUAGCUGGACGAAUAAUUUCUCCUUUGCAAAAUUCACGCAUCUUUGCCAACAACUAACCGUGAUUGUAAAUAUAAUUUGUGAUCGUUCUAGCUCUUUUGACCACAGUAGCAACAUUCUCUCUCUUCCCCAUUGCCUCAAACAUGAGAUCAAUACAAUGUGCUGCACAUGAUGUCCAAAACACAUUAUGAUGCUUCAUUAACUUUUUUCCAGCUUUGACAAAUGCAGAACCGUUGUCGGUCACGACUUGGACAACAUUAUGCUCUCCCACCUCCAUGAUUACAUCCCUCAAUAAUUUGUAAAUAUAUUGGUAAUUCUUUAUAUGGUCUGAAGCAUCAACAGACUUCAAAAAAAUUGUCUUUCCCUUGGAGUAUACCAUGAAGUUGAUGAUAGACAAUCUGGUCUGGCCGGUCCAUCCGUCACACAUGAUUGUGCAACCAUUAGUUUCCCACUUUGACCUCAACUUGUUAACAUACUCGCCAAUGUCUUUAUACUCCAUAUCCAAAUAUUUGUUUCUUAUCUCAUAGGGAGUGGGAGGUUGUACUCCAACACCGACCUGUUGACAUCCCACUACCAUAUUUUUGAAAUGAUUUGAUGAUGCCUUCGCAGUAGGGACAUUUUCAUAGAUAAAGAACUUGCUAAUUAGACGCCACAUUCCCUCCUUCACAUUACCUCCAGUGAAAUAACUUCAAAUACUCUUUUGACGUGCUUUGGAUGACUUAUAUAAACUUGGGGCUAUUGGUGGUGUUGGUUGUGAUUCUCUAAGACUGCCUCCCCGUCUCAUUUGUGCACCACCACUUGUCCCGGAACCUUGUGCUCUAUUAGGAAUUUUAUGAAGGUGUUCUCUUUCCCAUGCUGACUGUUUGGAGGCACGUAAUACUUGUUUCAAACUGCGUCGUUCUUCAGGUCCCAUGUCAUCAUCACAUUCGUCCUCAUCGUCAUCAUCAUCACUGUCAAGCUCUUGGCCAUAGACUUCUCCCCGUAGCCCAGCUCAAAUAUUUUCCAUUCCCUGUGUUAUCUUUUCCUUCUGCUGUUUUUUAUUUUUUAAUAAUGUGCUGAUGAAUGUCUUCACUUCUGGGGGGACAUUAUCGCAUCGUUGGACAUUUUUUGCUGGAUCUAAUCCACUAAGAUGGUACUUAAUUCGUGUCACUCCGCCACUCUUCAUUACCCGACCACAAUAUUUGCAAAUUGUGCCAUGUUUGUUUCCAUCUAUUGGGUAUCCAUGUUCUCAAGCUGGAUCACGUUUAGUAGCUCCACUGGACAUCGUAAAUGUACCUACAUUUAUUUUUCAUGAAAAUUAGACAAAUAUUUUUUGGCCAAAAAAUAUAGUAGUGAUGACGGUUAUAUAAGAGAACCUAAAUAAUAAAGUUAUUCUACAGAAGAAUUAAAUAUGAAGUAAAGAAAAUGAUUGUAAAAAUUUAAGUAAUUAAAAAAAUAAUAUGGAAUAAUAAAACCUAAUAUUAAUGAAUAAUAAUCCAAUUUGAUAAAAAAAUAAUCCUAAUAUAAAUGAUGAAUAAUAUUCCUUUUUGAUAAUAAUCCUAAUAUAAAUAAUCCUACUAUAAAUGAUGAUAAUUAUGUUUCAUGAAAAUAAUCCUAAUAUAAAACAUAGUGAUGAAUCAUAUUCCUUUUUGAUAAUAAUCCAAUUUAAUAAUAAUUCACUUUAAUAAUAAUCCAAUUUAAUGAAUAAUCCAAUUUGAUAAUAAAAAAAACCUAAUAUUAAUGAAUAAAAAUCCUAUUUGAUAAAAAAAUAAUCCUAAUAUAAAACAUAGUGAUGAAUAAUAAUCCAAUUUGAUAAUAAUCCAAUUUAAUAAUAAUCCAAUUUAAUGAAUAGUCCAAUUUGAUAAUAAGCCAAUUUAAUGAAUAAUCCAAUUUAAUGAAUAAUAAUCGAAUUAUCUUAAAAAUAAUCCUAAUAUAAAACAUAGUGAUGAAUAAUAAUCCAAAUUGAUAAUAAUCCAAUUUAAUAAUAAUCCAAUUUAAUGAAUAGUCCAAUUUGAUAAUAAGCCAAUUUAAUGAAUAAUCCAAUUUGAUAAUAAUCUAAUUUAAUGAAUAAUAAUCCAAUUUGAUAAUAAAAAAACCUAAUAUUAAUGAAUAAUUAUCAUAUUUGAUAAUAAAACCUAAUAUUAAUAAAAUAAUAAAUAACAUUAAACAUAUUAAAAUUAUCCUAGGGAAUAAUUAUACAACAUUACUUAAUUACUUAAAAAAAUUAACAUGUAAUUGUUAACAUUACUUAACUACUUACAAAAAUUAACAUGCAAGUAUUAAUUACUUAAAAAAAAUUAACAUACGAGUCCACACAAAUUUAUUUGUUGUUGUAUAAAUUACAAUAAUAUAAAUAUAAGUUUGUAAACUUACCUUAAAUAUGGAACCCUUUGUGUUCAAGCUUUGGAAUGGAGCUGGAAUGGCUUUGAAAAUGGUAAGGGAAAUAAAAUAAUAAAUAACAUUAAACAUAUUAAAAUAAUCCUAGGGAAUAAUUAUACAACAUUAUUUAAUUACUUAAAAAAAUUAACAUGUAAUUGUUAACAUUACUUAAUUACUUACAAAAAUUAACAUGCAAGUAUUAAUUACUUAAAAAAAUUAACUUACGAGUCCACACAAAUUUAUUUGUUGUUGUAUAAAUUACAAUAAUAUAAAUAUAAGUUUGUAAACUUACCUUAAAUAUGGAACCCUUUGUGUUCAAGCUUUGGAAUAGAUCUGGAAUGGCUUUGAAAAUGGUAAGGGAAAUAAAAUAAUAAAUAACAUUAAACAUAUUAAAAUUAUCCUAGGGAAUAAUUAUACAACAUUACUUAAUUACUUAAAAAAAAUUAACAUGUAAUUGUUAACAUUAAUUAAUUACUUACAAAAACUAACAUGCAAGUAUUAAUUACUUAAAAAAAUUAACAUUUAAUUGUUAACAUUACUUAAUUACUUACAAAAACUAACAUGCAAGUAUUAAUUACUUAAAAAAAUUAAUAUGUAAUUGUUAACAUUAUUUAAUUACUUACAAAAACUAAAAUGCAAGUAUUAAUUACUUAAAAAAAUUAACAUACGAGUUCACACAAAUUUUUUUGUUGUUGUAUAAAUUAUAAGAAUAUAAAUAUAAGUUUGUAAACUUACUUUAAAUAUGGAACCCUUUGUGUUCAAGCUCUGGAAUGGAUCUAGAAUGACUUUGAAAGGGGUAAGGGAAAUAAAAUAAUCGAAAAGGUUUGAAUGGCUAUGACACUCGACCUCUUGAAAGAAUGCAGCUUUGAAAGAAUAUCACAAUGGCUAUGAUACUCCACCUUUUAAAACAAUAUCGGCACACGAUUUUGAAUGAAACCACCAUCCAUGGUUUGAAAAGAAUACAAAUUAUAAUUGUAAAAGUGAGUCUGUCAAAUUGUCAAAAUAAUUGUAAAACUUGUCGGGAAUACUGAGUGAGUCUGUCAAAUUGUCAAAAUAAUUGUAAAACUUGUCGGGAAUAUUGAGUGAGUCAUGUGUCCUCCUGACAGGAGGAACCCACACAGACACACACACAAAUGACACAACGCACGCAACCACACACGCACACAACGCACGCACACAAACAUCACACACGCAGACCACGACCUCAGUCUCUAUCUCUCUCGAUCCUUCUCGAUCUCUCUUCUCCCUUCUCUCUCCCACACACACACACACAGAGAUCUCUGAUCUCUCUUCUCCCUUCUCCCAAACACACACACACACACAGAUCUCCGAUCUCUCUUCUCCCUUCUCCCAAACACACACACACACACAGAUCUCUCGAUCUCUUCUCUCCAUUCUCCGAUCUCUCUUCUCCCUUCUCCGAUCUCUCUUCUCCCUUCUUCCACACACACACACACACACACACACACACAGAUCUCUCGAUCUCUCUUCUCCCUUCUCCGAUCUCUCUUCUCCCUUCUCACACGCGCACACACAGAUCUCUCGAUCUCUCUUCUCCCUUCCCCUACACACACACCACGGCCUUCUGCUCCUUAGUCCGACAAUCUCGAAUCCCUCUCGAUAUCUGGGUGUCGCCGCCGUUGAUCGUGGCUCUGGCAAAGUCGGAGUUGGCUCAGUCGUUUGUGGCGGUGCGCCGCUGAACAAGUUUUCAGGUGAGAUUCCAUUGAAACCCUAAACCCUAAACCGACAUCACAUAUGUUGAAUCGUUUAUUACCUCUUGCAUGCGUGAAAUUUGAAGUUUAUAUGUGAAAUUGAAGUUAAAAAUCGUGUUUUUGCAAGGUUUUUGGGAUGAAAUCGGCUCUGGAAUAGGCACACCGUCUCCGGCGUUCUUCUCCGACGUUCGGCUCGGAGUCCGAUUGCACCGUUCAAAAAAAUAUCGCGAUAUUUCCAAAAUAUUGCGAUAUUUGGACGAAAACCAUUCGGAUACCAAUUAAAAUAUCCAUGUCCCGAAAAACCGAUAAUAUCGACGAAAUAUCGCCGAUAUUAUCGGCAUUUUCUUCCAUGGUCAUACCUCAACUUAUGAAUUCGUUGUAAUGUCAAGCCUCCAUUAAAAUUUCUGUCAAUUUUACUGUUAAGCGAUGACAUGGCAGGUGCGGGGUCCACUCCUCACUCAAAUGAAUUUAAAAAUUAAUUAAAUUUAAUAAGUUAAGAUUUUUUAAUCUGAAAAAAAAUAAAAAUUUAUUAAAAAACCCUCCUCCCCUCACUUCUCUUCCUCUUCUCUCCCUCGUCUACUCCGCCGUCAAGGUUCGAAAGAUCGGCAAGGGAGCUCUGGAAUGCACCGUGUGCUUGAGCGAGUUCGACGACUUCGAAACGUUGCAUUUGCUUCCCAAAUCCGACCACGUCUUCCAUCCAGAUUGCACCUGACACCUGACUCGCACUCGACGGGUCACUCGCCGAUCCGACCCAGAUUGGACACCGAGUGGUACAUGUUGAGACUGUUGGAGGAGGUGAGGAGGCAACUGGUUUCGAGCGGCAACAACAAGAACCCGUGCCUGCUGGACCACCUCUGGGAGCCGGACGAUUUCUACGAGCCGAUCCACCACCACAACCCAGCGAGGCAGCGAAGUUUCAAUCCUUGUCGUCAGGCUCGAACACAAGAUUCUCGAGUUGCACAGGUACAAGCUCGCGAGGAAUCAGAAACAAGAGACACCCAAUUGGGCGGCGGCGAAACCAAUGGAGAGAUGAAACGGAUUGGUAGCGGCUGAAGCGGGGGAGGUUGGAUUGGUGAUGGCUGAAACGGGGGAGGCUGCAAAAUCAAGAGACACCCAAGAUCAAAUGUAUACAUGUUCCUCCAAACUGAACUUACAGAUCAUUGUAUUUUUUUUUUUUUAAAUUUGGGAACGUUGCUGCAAAUCAAGGAGAGAGUUUUUUCAAUUAUCUUAAUUUUUUCAGACCAAAAAAAAUUCUUAAUUUUUUAUUUUUUCAGACCAAAGCCAAUGGAGUAGACGAGGGGAGAGCUGAGGGAGAAAAGAAGGACAGAGACGUGAGGAGAGAGGAGGUUUUUUCAAAACUAAAAAAUCUUAGCAUAUUAAAAUUUAAUUAACUUUUAAAUUCAUCUAAAUUAAUGACUAAGGAUUUGAACUUAUAUGCAAAGAGCGAGCACAUACUAGCGAUCUCCGUCAAAUUGUUGUUUUUUUCCCUCGAACCUACACUUGUUUGCGUCACUUUGCUACCGUCUAUGUCUAGCGAUCUCCGUCAUGUGAGUCUUGGGCACUACGUUAGCCUCCGCUCCAGGAAGAUUCCACCUUGACAUUUCAUUCCCUCUCUCACUCUGCACUCUCAUACUUCCACUCCUACAGUGACACACACACUCCCUCUCUCUCUCUCUUUCCCUCCCCCCUAUAUAACAACACACAAAAAUCUACCUCCAAUAACAAAACUCAAACCCCUUUUCCCAGAAUUGCAGAACCCCCGAGCAAAAAGCUCCAGAAAUCGUGGAGUUUUUUGGUUCAUCAAACCACGUCUCUCAAUCUUCUUCUCACACUACACAUCACUGAUGCAUCCAGGUACCGAUUUUCUGCUCAAACCGGUUUUUAUACAUGGGUUUUCUGGUUCAUUACACAUAGUGUUGGUAUUUGUGUUGUUCUUCUCUUGGUUGUGGAGGAAAUUCAAGUUGGGUGAUGGAGGAGGAGGAGAGGCUCCGAAACAGAGGUUUUCAAAUAGCCGAAAUUCGUACUACAAGCAGGCUUUAAUUUGUACUUUCUGUGUUUCUGGGUUUUGUCUGGUUUUUUGUUUAUUGAACUACUUUUCUUGGUACAAAAAUGGUUGGUCUGAUGAAAAAGUAGUGACCCUUUUGGAUUUAGCUGUUAGAACACUCUCUUGGGGUGCAGUUUGUGUUUAUUUGCAUACCCAAUUCUCCAAUUCUGCUGAAUCCAUUAAGUUCCCAAACUUUUUGAGAGUUUGGUGGGGUUUCUAUUUCUCUAUUUCUUGCUAUUCCCUUGUCAUUGACAUUGUUCUUCACAAGGAUCGUGUUUCGUUGCCUGUUAAAUCUUUGAUUUUCGAUGUUGUCUGUGUUGUUUCGGGUUUGUUUUUCAUGUAUGUGGGGUUUUUCGGGAAGAAAGAGGGUAGAGAUUCUGUUCUUGAGGAACCCUUUUUGAACGGUAAUCGUAGUACUAGUGUAGGUAAUGAUGGAGAGUCAAAUAAGUCGAGAGGGGGAACAAAUGUUAACCCUUAUUCAAACGCUGGAAUUUUCAGCAUUCUUACUUUUGCUUGGAUGGGUCCUCUAAUUGCGGCUGGCAAUAAGAAGGCGUUGGACCUUAAGGAUGUUCCCGACCUAGAUAAGGUUGACAGUGUAUUUGGGUCCUAUCCUCGUUUUAAAAGUAAGCUCGAUGUGGGGUGUGGUGGGAGCGGCAGAGUUACCACACUUCAUCUGGUGAAGGCAUUAGUCUUCUCAGCCUGGAAAGAGAUUCUCUUGACCGCUUCAUUUGGGAUUUUUUACACAAUGGCGUCUUAUGUUGGUCCAUAUCUGAUCGACACACUUGUUCAAUACCUCUAUGGGCGACGGCAGUUCAAAAAUGAAGGCUAUGUUUUGGUUUCUGCAUUUUUGUUGGCAAAGCUCGUGGAGUGCCUCACUCAAAGGCACUGGUUCUUUAAGACGCAACAGGUAGGAGUAAGAAUCCGCGCAGUACUUGUUACAGCCAUCUAUAACAAGGGUUUGACCUUGUCAUGCCAGUCCAAGCAGGGCCACACAAGCGGUGAGAUUAUCAAUUUUAUGACUGUCGAUGCUGAGAGGAUUGGUAACUUCACUUGGUACAUGCACUAUCCAUGGAUGAUCCUUGUACAAGUUGGCUUGGCCCUA